rnacentral:lncRNA from 1 species
CUUUUUCUUCGUAUGCCUUGGGAAGGAUAUUACAAUGAGACCCCCAUCCGGAGAUGAAACCGUCCUUCCCCAAUCACUUGCUCCGAAGAAGGAUAAAGAGAAGAAAAGAAAAGGGGCACCGAGUUCCUCGAACUCGUAGAAGCAGAAACCGAAAAGGAGGCAGGUGUGCAAACUGGAAAGCGUCAGAUCCCUCCCAUUGGACUUGGUCCACCGAUUGAGGGAUGAGUCCGAAGAAGAAGAAGAAAAUUCCGAGUUGGUGGCUCGGGUGCGAGUCUACAACGCAUUGCCUCAAGCCAAGGAGGCUGUUGAGAGGGCAGUGACCGAGGUCUCUAAACCGGAGAGGGGUGAGGCCGCUUUGCCCCAAGCUAGGGAGGUUGAGAAGGAGACCGGGGCCGAUAUUCCUCGAGCAGAGGAAAGUGCUCCGAAAUAUGUGCUUGGGAUGAUUGAUCUCUCUAGGUCUCCUUUAUUCUCCGAUUCUAUGAUCAACGAGGUCGGUAUGCUAAAAGAUCAUUCACACGAAGGGCCUCAAUGGGCCGGCAGAUCUUAAUUAUUUAUUUGUUGGCUUAAAAUCUACCGCCUCGGAGGAUGUUAUUGGGUUUGGUGACAUACCGGUUCCAACGAAGGCACCAUCUUUGGGAGAUAGUGGGUCUUCUUCGAGUUCGAGGUUAGUGGAUCAGUUCCCGACUUCGAGUGUUGAUCCUGACCGAAAGCGGUCAAUAAUUAUCUCUAUCCCAGAGGAUGCCCCGGUUCUCUCCGCCCCCGUGAGGGUUGCUAGCUAUCUCUGGUGCUUGGUGAUCGAAGAGGACCAGGCCAAGAUGGAUGAGGUAGAAGCGCCCUACCUGUUCAAUGAAUCUCAACAGGCGUUGAAUUGGGUAACUUCGAAUGAGUCUUUAUCAUGUACUUUAGAUUUUAAGUUGAAAAUAAUUGUAAGAGUUUUCUUUAUGCUUACAGGCUUCGGUACAUCAUCAUGAAAUCUUCCCAUGAUAUUGGGAGGAGUUAACCCAACACGAGGUUGAGGUUCGGGAGCUUACUGAGUAGAGAGACACCUACAAGCUACUAAGUGAGAAACUCCAGGCCGAGCUAGAAGCGACUCGGAAGGAGCAUGCCGAAUGGGUCGAGCAGGUAAAUCGAGUACUUGAAGAUAGUGAGGAAGAUUUGGACACAGUGGCUAACGAUCCGAUCCUGCUGGUCCAAAAAAGACUUGAUCGGAUCAGGCAACUCCAGGCAAAGGUGGACACAAAGAAAGCUGAGGCCGAAGAAUGGAAGAGAAACAUGGACCUCCUAGCCUCGGAAAAAGAGGCCGUCCAAGCUCAACUGGCAUUGACUGAGGCCCAGCUCCAGGCUACAGAGGAAAAGGCCUUGACCCGGGCCAAAACAAUCGAGGAGAUCUGGUCUCAGCUGAGCUCGGUUGUUUCCAGCCAAGAAAAUUAGGCCAAGGAACUUGAGGCGGCCAGGUCAAAGAUUUUUGUGGUCAAGGCCGAAACUGAUGAGAAGGUGGCCCAGCAUAAGGUCGAUGCUGAGGCAGCUCAUGAUCAAGUGAAGCAUUUGGUGGAGCACAUGAAGUAGCAAACCCGAAAGGAGGCCCUCAAAGGAGUUCAUGCUCAGGGCUUCGACCUGCUAGAUGAGAUCGAGAAUGCCAAGAUAUCUGAGACCAAGGCCAGGAAGCCGGCUUAUCCCGAGGAGGAGGAUUUCGAGGGGUCUGAAGACUCGGAUGAGCCCGAAGGUGGUGAAGACCCCGAAGGCGACGAUGCGGCCCCCGGUGAAGAUUAAGCUACUUAUGAUCUUUUUAGGCGUUUUGUCUUUUAUUUUUUUGAGGCCGUUUUGGCCAUUGUAGAUUUCUGUAUCGGGGCCAUUUUACCCUUGUAAAAAGAUUUUUGAAUAAAUAUAUAUAAGGGUUUCUUUCGUUUUCAGCUUUCGAAUUUUUUUCUUUGCCUUGUUUAUUCUUUCUUGCAAAGGUCUAAAUGCCUUGGAAUAAAAUAAUUGGUUUUUGUUUAGAGACUCGAAGAAGUCUUGCCUUCACUUUGAGGCAUCAUUGGGGCUCGGUAUGACCGAAAUUUUUCUUUCCCCAAACUACUUAGACUAUUUUAAGUCAUAGUCUGUCGAAGGUAGCCUUUGGAACCGGUUAAGAAAUUUUAAGGCCUUGUUGUUUUUUGUAACGGGCCUCGACGUCUUCGAGCCGUGUUUAUAUGGCUGUAGCCUUUAUAGUUUGGGUGUUGUCCUGUAUUAAUAUUAUUAUCCCAAGUUAUCCGGGUUCGACUAAGAUGGCAGUCCCCGAGUAGGGGUGGCCUUAGCCUAUAAAAUUUAGGGGUUGCCUAAUAGGUCUUAUACCCCCGAGGUCUAAUAGCUUGGACAGUCCGAGUUUGUUUUAGGAUGGCAAUCCACGAGCAAAAGAGUGAUUAUUUGAACUUCGGCUAAGGUGGCCAUUGGGCUCGUUUCCUUUAGGGGAUCGGUAGCGGGGAAUUCCUUAAGAAGUGCAAAGGAUUUGUUUUUUAAAAGACAAGAUGUUUGUAGGGAGAGAUAUUUCUUUAUUCUUGUGCAUAAUAAGGAUGUAUGUAUACACGCUUUGCGUCAGGGCUCAGCAGUCUAUGUGGCACGGUUCAUUUGACCAUUUGGCCCUUACAUUGAAUCUUAUCGAUCGAGACCCUUUCAAUCCUAAAAUCUCUUUACAUGCUAAAGUUGAUAUCAGACGUUAAUUCCCCCAGCGUUCGAGGUUGAUUGAAGUGAGGCCUCGUAUACUGUUUUGAUCGUUGUUACUGGUUCGUUGCUGGCCUUCAAUUCUAAGUUAUCAUGAUUUACUUGUUGCCUCGUUAAAAACCUUGCCGAAAAAUCCAUUUGGGACAAAACCGAUUCAAGGGAAAAAGAGUGCAACGCGUGCUUUCUGACCUAAAAUCUCGUACUUUUCCUCGUCGAUCACCUACAAGAGUUAGUCCGAAAUAUAAAUAAAAGAAAAUGAAUGGGGUCGUACCAAGCAGUAAUAUCGUUUUAGGUGAGUUACAUUCCAAUCGCUCGGUAGUUGUUCACCAUUCAUCGUCUCGAGCUUGUAGGAUCCUUUUUCCGGUGAUUUCGAUGACUUGGUACGGCCCUUCCCAAUUCGGCCCCAACUUUCCCUCAUUCGGGUUUCGGGUGUCCAACGUGACCUUCCUUAGCACUAAGUCCCCGACGUUGAAGUACCGAAGGUUGGCCCUUCUGUUUAAUAUCCCCCGAUCUGCUUCUUUUGAGCAGCCAGCCGAACAAAGGCGACUUCACGCUUUUCAUCCAAUAGAUACAGGCUUGUAUUCAUUGCCUCGUCAUUUGAUUCCUUUGUAUCAUAUCGGAAUCCGAUGCUUGGCUCUCUAAUUUCGAACAGUAUCAAAGCUUCGGCGCCGUAAACCAAUGAGAACGGAGUGGCCCCGGUACUGGACUUCGAGGUCGUACGAUAUACCCAAAGAACUUUGUUAGAAUAGUUGUGUGAAUAUAUGUAAUUAGUCCUAGUCCCUUAUGUAAUAUGAGUAGGUUAUGUAUUAUGUAUACAUAUAAAUAGGUCUCAAUGUAAUAUAGAAUAUUUAUCAAUAAUAUUUUCUCCCAUGCUUUCUCACAUCGUAUCAGAGCCUUGGUUAUAAAAGAUCGUUGAGCGUCAUUCCAGCGACAUCUGGGAAGAAAGAACUCAGUCACCGUGCAAUUUUCCGGUGACCUAAGUGACUGUUGACGUCAAAGUCAAUAUUUAUCAGUGUUGUGAAUAAACCAACACCACCACAAGGUCCGCCAUAGUCCCGCAACCAAACCCUAGAAAAUCCCGCAGGAAAAAUCAUGCCCACACGCCCUCACGUACCGGGCAGACUCCAAAAACUCUGGCGAGAUCUGUGCACGCGCCGGGCGCGUGAGAUCCCUUACAGCCAUAUUCCGAUGAACUUCCUUCAGAGAAGCGUACUGGCAUGGCCAUUCCGAGUUGACCAGUGCUAUUCCUGACAAAUUCCGACAAUUUUGAAAUUUUUUGGCAAGCUACAGUAUUUUUUCGGUGUGAAUAGUGUUUCCAGCAUAAAAUAGUGUUCUAUUUUUCUGUUGUGAACAGUGUUUUCCAGCUAUUUCUUCCAUUUUCCUGCAUGAGUUACUGAUUUCCACUAUUUCAAGUUAACCCUACUACUUUUAGUCAAGAUUUUGAGAAAUAAAUUGUAGCGAAAUGGGAUCCAAUAGUAUGAAUGGUUGGAUGGAUUCUCUACCGGAUUAUAUGGAGUUUCUUUAGUACAAAGCACGUAAACAGACAUCUUCAGGAUUAGCCUCCGUUGUUCCAAUAGAUAGUAGCAUGACUUGUGUCUCCCAAUCUUCAACCUCUGAGUCUUGGGUCAUUGAUUCAGGGGCAUCUAAUCAUAUUUUUGGUAACAAAUCUCUUUUCACUAGUAUUUCAUAUUCUCAAUCUCUUCCAACAGUCAUAAUGGCAAAUGGGUCUCAAACCAUGCCAACUACAAUAGGUUAAGCAAGUUCACUUUCUUCCUUACCUUUAGACUCAGUUCUUUAUGUUCCCGGUAGUCCUUUUAAUUUCAUAGUCGUUAGUCGCUUAGCCAAAUCACUUAAAUCUGCUAUUUUAUUUCUUGAUGACCUUAUUUUUAUAUAGGAAUGCAGUACGAGGCAGAUCAUUGGUACCGGACGUGAAUCGGAUGGAGUUUAUUAUCUUAUCCUUGCAAAAUCAUAUGGACUCACAUCUUGUCUUCCUUCAACAACUCAUCCCAUUACUGAUUCACCUAAUUUAUUACAUAAACAGUUGGGACAUCCCAGAUUGUCAAAAUUUCAGAAAAUAGUACCUGGCUUAUCUCACUUAUCCAAUCUAGAGUGUGAGUCAUGUCAGCUCGGUAAGCAUACCCGCUCCCAUUUCCCGUGGCGUCUUGAUAAUCGAGCGGAGUCACCUUUUACUUUAGUCCAUUCAGAUUUUUGGGGUCCUAGUCGGGUCGGUUCUACCUUGGGAUUUCGCUACUUUGUCAGUUUCAUUGAUGAUUAUUCUAGGUGCACUUGGAUAUUUUUGAUGAAAAAUCAAUCUGAGUUGUUUUCUAUUUUCCAGACCUUCCACGCUGAAAUUCAAAAUCAAUCUGGGGUUUCUAUUCGCACAUUUCGUAGUGAUAAUACCCUAGAGUAUUAGUCUUCCCCAUUUCAGCAGUUUAUGAACUCCCAUGGAAUUAUUCAUCAAACAUCUUGUUCGUACACAUCCUAACAAAAUAGGGUAGCUGAAGAAAAAAUAGACAUCUUAUUGAAACUGCUCAUACCCUCCUCAUACAAUCUCAUAUUCUGCUGUGUUUUUGGAGGGAUGCGGUUCUUACAUCUUGCUAUCUUAUUAAUCGUAUGCCAUCUUCAGCUAUCCAGAAUCAAGUUCCACUCUCUGUCCUGUUUCCCCACUUACCUUUGUUCUCUCUUCCACCCUGUGUCUUUGGGAGUACGUGUUUUGUUCAUAAUCUUACUCCAGAAAAAGAUAAGUUAGCUCCUCGUGCUCUUAAGAACAUAUUUUUGGGUAACCCGAGAACACAAAAGGGAUAUAGAUGUUAUUCUCCUGACCUCCAGUGGUUUCUUAUGUCUGCUGAUAUUACCUUCUUUGAAACCCAAUCAUACUUCACCGGUCGAGGUAAUCACUUAGAUAUUUCUGAGGCGCUACCACUUCCGCCUUUUGGAGAUUCAAUCACUAUCUCCCAUUCAUCUUCCUCCAUAGCUCCAGUUGCAGCUCCACCACCUACAGCUCCAGUUGCAACUCCACCACCUAUAGCUCCAGUGCCACCACCUAGUCCAGUUCCACUAACUAUAGCUUCAGUGCCACCACCUAGUUCAGUGCCACCACCUAGUCCAGUUCCACCAACUAUAGCUCUAGCACCACCACCUAGUCCAGUUCAACCUUCUACAACUCCACUACUCCUGACUUAUUAUCUUCGUCCGCAACCAGUAUCAGGCCCAGUUGAUUCACGUCCUGCACCUGACCCUGCUAAUACUGCGGACUUGUCUCCUCUUAGUCAACCGAUUGCACUACGAAAAGGUAUACGGUGCACACUUAAUCCUAAUACCCAUUAUGUCGGUUUAAGUUACCAUCGUCUGUCAUCGUCCCAUUGUGCAUUUUUAUCAUCUGUGUUCUCUGUUUCCAUCUCGGGUGGCGACAGGAUAAGGUAAAGCACUGUCUCAUCUCGGGUGGCGACAGGAUAUGAUUGACGAUAUGUCUGCUUUACAUACCAGUGGUACUUGGGAUCUUGUCCAUCUCCCUUCGGGUAAAUCGACUGUUGGUUGUCGUUAGGUGUAUGCAGUCAAAGUUGGUCCAGAUGGCCAGGUCGAUCGACUUAAGGCUCGUCUUGUUGCCAAAGGGUAUACUCAGAUAUUUGGACUUGAUUACAGUGAUACUUUCUCUCCCGUGGCUAAAAUAGCAUCAGUACGCCUUUUUCUAUCCAUGGUUGUUGUUCGCCAUUGGCCUCUUUAUCAGUUGUACAUUAAGAAUGCUUUUCUUCACGGUGACCUUGAGGAUGAGGUUUAUAUGGAGCAACCACCUGGUUUUGUUGCUCAGGGGAGUAUAGUGGCCUUGUAUGUCAUUUGCGCCGAUCCCUCUAUGGUCUAAAGAAAUCUCCUCGAGCCUGGUUUGGUAAGUUCAACAUAGUUAUUCAGGAGUUUGGCAUGACUCGUAGUGAAGCUGAUCACUCUGUGUUUUAUCGGUAUUCUGCUUCAAAUCUCUGUAUUUAUCUAGUCGUUUAUGUUGACAAUAUUGUUAUUACCGGUAAUGAUCAGGAUGGUAUUAGUAGGUUGAAGCAACAUCUCUUUCGGCACUUUCAGACUAAGGAUCUGGGCAGAUUAAAGUAUUUUUUGGGUAUUGAGGUCGCUCAGUCUUGCUCAGGUAUUGUAAUCUCACAAUAGAAGUAUGCCUUAGAUAUUCUUGAUGAGACAGGAAUGACAGGUUGUAGACUUGUUGACACUCCGAUGGAUCCGAAUUCUAAACUUCUUCCAGGACAAGAGGAGCCUCUUAGUGAUCCUGCAAGAUAUAGGAGGUUGGUUGGUAAAUUAAAUUACCUCACACUAACUAGACCUGACAUUUCCUUUCCUGUGAUUGUUAUGAGUCAGUUUAUGGAUUCUCCAUGUGAUAGUCAAUGGGAUGCAGUUGUUUGCAUUCUUUGGUAUAUAAAAUCAGCUUCAGGCAAAGGUUUAUUAUUUGAGGAUCGAGUCCAUGAGCAGAUCGUAGGAUACUCAGAUGCUGAUUGGGCAGGAUCACCUUUUGAUAGACGUUCUACGUCUGGAUAUUGUGUCUUAGUAGAAGGAAAUUUGGUGUCUUGGAAGAGCAAGAAACAGAAUGUGGUUACUCGGUCUAGUGCAGAAGCAGAAUAUCAAGCAAUGGUUAUGGCGACAUGUGAGCUAAUUUGGGUCAAACAGUUGCUCAAGGAAUUGAAAUUUGGUGAGAUUAGUCAUAUGGGACUUGUGUGUGAUAAUUAAGAUGCCCUUCAUAUUGCGUCAAAUCCAGUGUUCCAUGAGAGAACUAAACACAUUGAUAUUGACUGUCACUUUGUUAGAGAAAAAAUACUCUCAGGGAGAUAUUUCUACAAAGUUUGUGAAAUCGAAUGAUCAGCUUGUAGAUAUUUUCACCAAGUCCCUCACUGGUCCUCGUAUUAACUACAUAUGUAACAAGCUCGGUACAUAUUAUUUAUAUGCACCAGAUUGAGGGGGAGUGUUAGAAUAGUUAUGUGAAUAUAUGUAAUUAGUCCUAGUCCCUUAUGUAAUAUGAGUAGGUUAUCUGUUCUGUAUACAUAUAAAUAGGGCACAUUGUAAAGAGUUCCUUCCAUUUUCCUUUGCAGUUGGUCAACCUCUUUUUAAGGUUCUGGAGUAUGGUUUUGUUGGUUGAUUCGUCUUGUCUGUUCCCACUAGGGUGGUAGGGUGUUAAUAGGUUCCUUUUGAUCUUGUGGUCUUCGAGAAAUUUGGUCACCUUGGUAUCGAUGAAUUAUUUCGCGUUAUCGCACACGAUCUCAGACGGCAUUCCGAACCAACAUAUUAUAUGGUCCUAAAUGAAAUCGAUGACCUCCUUCUCCCUGACCUUCUUGUAUGACUGGGCUUCCACCCAUUUAUAAAAACAGUCAGUCAUAAAUAAAAUAAAUUGGGCCUUACUGGGUGCCCAUGGAAGGGGGCCGACGAUCUCUAUUCCCCACUUCAUGAACAGCCAUGGCGAUAAAACCGAAUGUAGCAGGUCUCCGGAUCGGUGUAUCAUCGGAGCAUAUCGUUGGCAUCCAUCACAUUUUCAUACGACCUACUUCGCAUCAUUUUCCAUGUCGAUCCAGUAGUAACCUGCUUUGAUCACCUUUCGAACCAAUGAUUCGGCUCCCGAAUGAUUUUCACAGGUGCCCUCAUGAAUUUCCCUUAAAACGUAAUCGGUAUUGCCAGCGGGCCGUAGAACAUUCUUCCAAUAAAGGUUCCAUACUCAGACAAACAAAAUCGGGUUGCCUUUGUACGGAGGGCCCUCGAUUCUUUUGAAUCCGAGGGUAAUUUACCGGUCUUUAGAUAUUCUACGUAUUUGUUUCUCCAAUCCCAAGUCAGGCUUGUAGAGUUUAUCUCGGCAUGACCUUCUUCUACCACCGAUCUCAUUAGUUGCACCACUGCUCCUGAAUUAAGCUCGUUGUCUUCGACCGAUGAUCCUAAGUUAGCAAGGGCCUCAGCUUUAGUGUUUUGAUCCCGGGGUACGUGUUGUAAGGUCCACUCCUUAAACUGAUGUAAUUCUACUUGUAACUUAUCCAGGUAUCUUUGCAUUCGUUCUUCUCUAACAUCGAAUGUUCCAUUAACUUGGUUUAACACGAGGAGAGAUUUUCACUUAGCUUCGAUCACCUCUGUCCCCAAGCUUUUGGCUAGUUCGAGACCUGUAAUCAUGGCCCCAUAUUCGGCCUCGUUGUUAGUCAAUUUUACAGUCCUAAUAGAUUGUCUAACUGCAGUGCUUGUUGGUGGCUUUACAAUGAUGCCGAGUACGGACCCUUUUGCGUUCGAGGCACCGUCCGUGAAGAGGGUCCAGAUUCUUGAGGAUGUCCCCGAGUUCACCAACAACUCUCGUCCGACCUCGGGUAUAAGAUCCAGCAUAAAGUCGGCCAUGAAAUCUGCCAAAAUUUGAGAUUUGAUAGCUUUUCGGGGCCGAUACUCAAUAUCGUACCCACUUAUUUCAACGACCCACUUGGCUAAUCAUCUCAAGAGCUCGGGUUUGUGCAUAAUUUUUGCAACGGGUAAGUUAUUACAACACUUAUGGGGUGACACUGAAAAAUAAGGUUUUAGUUUCCUAGAGGCUCUUAGUAAAGCGAGUGCCAGUUUUUCUAGGUGAGGGUACCUAGUCUCGGCCACUCUUAGGCUCCUGCUAAUAUAAUAAAGUGUAAAUUGUGUACCUUACUCUUGUCGAACCAGGACUCCACUUGUCGCUAUUUCUGAUACUACCAAGUACAAGUACAAUUGUUCAUCUAUUUUUGGUGUAUGAAGCAAUGAUGGCCUCGAUAAAUAUCGUUUAAGCUCCUCCAAGGCCCGUUGACAUUGUGCGGUCCAUGAAAAGUUGUUCUUCAUUUUGAGCAGUGAGACAAAUUGGUGACACUUUUUCGAUGACCUCGAGAUGAAUCGCUCUAGGCCAGCUAUGCGUCCGGUUAAUUUUUGCACGGCCUUCACGUUGUCCAUGACCAUGAUAUCUUCGAUGUUUUUGAUUUUGUCGGGGUUGAUCUCGAUUCCUCAGUUGGAUACCAUGAACCCGAGGAACUUACCUGAUCCGACUCCAAACACACACUUCUCCGGGUUCCGCUUCAUAUUGUACUUCUUCAAAAUGCUGAAAGUUUCCUGCAAAUGCUUUAAAUGGUCUUUUGCUCGUAGGGACUUAACCAACAUGUCGUCAAUAUAAACCUCCAUUGAUUUUCCUAUUUGUUCCUCAAACAUUCAAUUUACCAAACGUUGACAAGUGGCACAAGCAUUUUUUAGUUCGAAUGGCAUCACGUUAUAACAGUACGUGUUGUACUUGGUAAUGAAGGAGGUUUUCUAUCGAUGAUAAGGGUCCAUCUGUAUUUGGUUGUACCCGGAAUAGGCAUAGAGAAAGCUAAGGAUCUCGUGGCCAGCCGUGGCAUCGAUCAUGUGAUCGAUGUUGGGCAGAGGGAAGGAGCUCUUCGGGCAGGCUUUGUUCAAAUCUUUAUAGUCUACACACAUUCUUAGUUUGUUCCCCUUUUUUGGGACUACCACUACGUUUGCUAAACAAUCCGGGAAUUUAACCUUCCGAAUAGACCCUAUUUUAAGGAGUUUAGAUACCUCAUCCUUGAUGAAAGCGUGUUUGACCUCGGACUGGGGCCUCCUUUUUUGCUUGACCGGAUGGAAUUUCGGGUCCAUGCUUAGCUUGUGGGUGGUUAUUUCCGUGGGGAUCCCUGUCAUGUCAAGAUGGGACCACGCGAAAUAAUUCAUGUUAGCUAUAAGAAAUUGAAUGAGUUUAUUCCUGAGCUCGGGAGUUAGCGACGUGCCACGUAUACCUUUUAAUCGGGUAGAUGUUUGAUCAAUAUGACCUGCUCCAGCUCUUCGACCGUUGAUUUGGUAGCGUUGGAAUCAUCGGGAACUAUAAAGGAUUGGGGAACCCUGUAAUUAUCGUCUUUGUCAGUCCCCUGCUUGUCUGGUUGGGUCGAGGCUGGCAUCGGUGAUUGCUAUUUAGCCUCUUGUUUUUUUUCCGACCUUGGCUCAUUUGAUGUUGCAAGUGUUGAUAGCGGAAUUACUUCAUCGACAGCAAACAUCUCCUUUGCGGUUGGUUGUUCUCCGUAGAUUGUCUUAAUCCCUCCUGGCGUUGGGAAUUUGAAUACCUGGUGAAGGGUCGAAGGCACUGCCCUCAUGUUGUGGAUCCAUGGCCUCCCGAACAGGACGUUGUAUCUCAUGUCACCUUCGAUCACAUAAAACUUGGCUUCCUUAUGGUCCCGGCGGCAUUGACUGGUAAUGUUAUUUCCCCUUUAGUGGUUUCACAUGCCAUGUUGAAUCUAUUUAGGACUCAGACUGCGGGUACGAUUUUGGUCUUGUAGACCGAGCGGCUCCACAACCCUUGAUCGAAUGAUGUUGGCCGAGCUACCUGGAUCAAUUAACACACGUUUAACCCGAAUUUUAUUCACAAGUACAUAUAUUACCAGUGCAUCAUUGUGGGGUUGUACGAUCCCUUCUGCAUGCUCAUCGUUGAAAGAUAAAGUUCCUUCUGGUACAUAGCCUCGAGUUCGUUUUUCCCUAGUGAUGGAUACUUUGGUGCAUUUCAACAUCGGCCCAUAUGGGAUAUCAACCCCACCGAUGAUCAUGUUGAUGACGUGCUGAAUUCUUCUUGUUCUGCCUGUUUGUUAGAAUCCAUGUUCCUGAAGUAAUUCUUUGCUCGGUCUCUCAAGAAUUCUCGAAGGUGCCCAUUGUUGAAUAGACGAGCUACUUUCUCUCUCAGCUGUCGACAAUAUUCGAUUCUGUGACCGUGAGUGUCAUGAUAUUUGCACAUCUAGUUAGGAUCCCUUUGGGUUGGAUCAGUCUAUAAAGAUCGAGGCCAUUUGGAAUCUUUGAUGUGCCCGAUAGCUGAUACAAUGGCAGCAGCAUUGACAUUAAAGUUGUAUUCCGAUAGCCUUGGUGCAUCUUUAGACCUGUUGGACCUAUCGAAGUACUUUUUGGUCAUAAGUCCCCUGCUACUCUGACCUCGGUCAUUCCUCCUUUCGUUUCUCAUGGAGUUUCGCCCGAGACAUUUGCCUCUCCGAUCCUCGCUAUAUGACUGAUACCAAUCUCUAUUUGAUCUCUGUUCACGAUCAAUCUCUCUCUUGACUCUGUCGAACGUUCUGACUCGAUAGACAGACCCCGAAGGGUCCCUGAGUUGAUCAUCUUCGACUCUAAUUUUUGAGUGAUACGGUUAUGUACAUCGGCCCAUGUAACAGUUGGGUAUCCCAUUAAGUUUCGCCUCAACUGUUGUGAAUCUACCGAGCUUCGAAUAUUAAGUCCCUGAGUGAAAGCUUGAACGGACCAAUCAUGAGCAACCGGUGAUAGAUCCAUUCGUUCCAUUUGGAACCGUGACACGAACUCCCUGAGCAUCUCGUUAUCCUUCUGUUUAACUUUGAAAAGGUCUAAUUUCCUAGUUUCGACCUUGAUGGAACUUGCGCGUGCUUUCAUGAAAGAAUAUGCAAGCAUAGCAAAUGAGUCAUUAGAAUUAGGAGGUAAAUUGUGAUACCAUAUCAUAGUUUCCUUUGACAGGGUUUCCCCAAACUUUAACAAAACGGACUCGAUCUCAUUGUCCUCCAGGACGUUCCCUUUGAUAGCACAUGUAUAAGAGGUUACAUGCUCGUUAGGGUCAGUCGUUCCGUUGUACUUAGGUAUUUCGGGCAUACGGAACUUCUUGGGGAUUGGCUUCGGAGCCGCGCUCGGAGGAAAAGAUUUCUGCACAAAUUUCUUGGAAUCCCGGCCGUUCAAUAUCGGAGGUGCUCCUAGUGUUUGGUCUACCCUGGAAUUAUAGUUUCCACCUUUUUGUCAUUGGCCUCGAUCUUCUUCUCCACUGAUUUUAUCCGUUUUGUCAAUUUCUCGAGCUUCUUUAUAAUCUCGGGGUUAGCCCCCGAUUCAUUUUCGUUCGACCUUUCUAUGAUCGGUUGAUACCUGCAGGUGACUUGGGGAGGAUCGGGCUCAAACCUGUUUGGUGCACGGUUUUGGUUUUGUAACUGAGUUAUUGCCGCCUGUUAUGCCUGCAACAUUUCAAAGAUCACUCGUAGACUGAUCUCGUCCCCUUCAACGUUUUGUGUGUUUCGAGUUGUUGAUCGGGCUCUACCACGAAUGCUAUUUUCGGGGUCGGUAGGCAAGUUUGCAUCGAUAGCCACAUGUGAAUUAGCAUCAAUCGGAUCUUCGAUCGGAAUACCAACGGGAUCAGCAGGUGGUAUCUCGUUACCGGGCGCUAUGUUGUUAUUUUCAUCUUGGUGACCGGAAUCGUUGUCAACGUGCAGAGAUGCUGAUUGAGAAUUUGACAUUUUUGUAUUUUAGCAUGGAAUCAAAGACACUUCAAAGAGCAAGCGUAAAGCAAUGUGUGUUAUGGAGAUUUGUAUCAAAUAAUCACUAUUAUACUUAGCCCCACGGUGGGCUAAACAGUUUACCCUCAAAAUCGGAUAACAAUUGAAUUUAUACACAGUUUUAAGGAUACGUGAUAUAACUUGAUACAAAUUGAGAAAACAGAUUAAUAUUGAAAUUAGUGAUAAGAAAAUAAAUACAAAUCACACGAAUUGAAUAGUCUUAGCCUUGAAGGUUGGUCACCCUCGAGUCAAGAAGUUCCCCAAUAGAUGUCAGGAUAGAAUGACAAGAUAAUAAGAACUAGAAAUAAUAGUGUAUUGCUUUGGGAGUCCUACUCUAGAUACAAUUCUAUAAAAGGUUAAAAAAAUCUCAUAAUUUGCUAACUAAUCGGCCUCUUCUUGAUACAUGACGAGAUUUUCGCCGUGAUAUCCGACCGAUUGCGGAUAUCUUGGCCUUCCGUUAUUUGGCCCGAUAAAGUUUUCUCGAUGUUGUUUGGGGUUGGGGUCGGUUUCGGAGUUACGGGCUUGAUGAUCUAACUUCGUGCCUUGGUUCGAUACAAUCUGGGGUCGAGCUUCAACCCGUCAUGUUUUAGUCCCGACCUGUCAUGCAAUAGACGAGCCCUGUUUCGACUGUAUACAAUAAUUUUAUAUUAACUUUAGUUAAGUCUCAAAUUUAGGCCUGCUAUCUUUAAAAGAACUUAUUCCCUAGCUAACUCAAUAUUUUUCAACUAUUUUUAUUAUAAAAACAUAACAUGCGACCACUCCCUUAUCCUACCAUCCAAUUUUUAAAAUCUUAACUAAUUUUAUAAAACUGCACCUUCUACAUUUAAAACUAUUAUAUUUUGCACCCCCCAAACUCUGUGUUUUUAAAUAUAUAUUUACACUCCAUCCCUUAUCUUUUCAUUUAUUUUUUUGACUACCCUUAAUGUUAGUAUUCUUGCAAAACUACGAUACCAUAUUUCUUUUUUAGCGAAAAAUGAAUUUAUAUAAAGACUAAGGUGCCAAAAGAGGUGCAUCGUAAAAAUUCGAAUUACUUACUAAAGUACCUUAUAAAACUAACUUCACCAUAUCCCAUAUCACCUUUUAUCAGUAUUUUCCGGUCACCCUCUAAUAUUAAUUAGUUGUUUGUCUUUCACUUCGCCAUAAGGCGCAUAAGAAUGAAAAAGAGUACGAGAAAGGAGAUAAAAAGAAGAGGACAAUCCUCCAGGUUUAAUUAGGAUUAGGGCGAGAGAAAUUCAUUACUUCUACGAGAUGCCAUUCCCAUUUUGAGCCUUUUAAAUCUUCACUAUUAGAUUUUAAAAAAAGUAGUAAUAAGAAAAAUAAUGAUAUAUUGUCUUAGAAUGCGUGUUACAAUAUACUUUAUGAAUUAUCAGACACCAUUUAUAUAGUAGAUGAGUCCUACUUUAGGUACAAUUUUAUAAAAGGUAAAAAAUCUUUUGAUUUACUGAUUGUCGGUUCUUUAUCGAUACGUGCCGAGAUUCCCGUCGUAACAUCCGACCGGUCAUGGAUAUUUGGGUCUUCUGUUGGCUAUGCUAACAAUGUUUCUUCGAGCUUGUUCGAGGCUAGGAUCGAUUCCGGGGUCACAGCCUCGAUAUUCUGGAAGGCAUGCGCUCUGCCCCGGGGUUCUAGUCCGAUAGGACUUGAGGUCGAUUUUCAGUCUUUUAUUGCCAUGUUUCGAGCCCGAUCUACCAUAUCGUAAGCGAGCUCGAUUUUAAUCGUAUACAUAGGGAUUUGGCAAUUUGCAACGAAGCUAAGCAAGAGGGAAAAAAACAAAUAUUAGAGUGGUAAGAACAAAAGAGGUAGCGCCUAAUUAAAAUGAGACAUCUAAAUUGAGUACUAAUAUUCGAUGUUAGGUUUCAGUCUUUAUACUGUCAGCCAAAAAGAUAUUAAAAGGGGAUCAAGUCUUAAUUUAUUUUUUCCCGCGUGAUAAAAAAAUACAAAUUAAAUACAAUAGCAAAUUGAAAAAGAAACCUUAAGGGUGGGAAAAGGGGGGAGCGGCAGGUAAUUAGUUCUUGGUUUACAUGUCAAUAUCUUAUUAAACAUUUUUUAGUAUUUGGUAAAAAUUAUAACUAACCUACUGUCACAAAUUUAAAUUCACUAAUAUUGUUUGAUAUAACUUAAAUCCUAAAAGAAAUACUCCACUAGAUAACUUCACAUUCACUAAUCACAAUUCAGCUUUUUUUCAACACUAAUCAACUUCACCACUAUUUUUUUUUUUGCUUUACCGUCCCUUAAUUCUAUUCUUAGUGAUACGUACGUUUAACGUUUUAAACCACUUUUUCGAUUCUUACUUACGGCUUGUUUGUCAAGAUGGAAAAAUCAGCUUAUUUGAGAAAUAUUUUUUUUAAAAGUAUUUUUCGAAAAGGCACUUUUGGAGAAAAACAGUUUGUGUUUGGUUAAUCAAUUUAAAAAUACUUUUGAACUAUAAUCUGUGUUUGGCCAAGCUUUUCAAAAAGUACUUUUAAGUGUCAAAUUACAAAUAAAAACAUGAAGAGAUUUGUUAAUAUUAUAUAAGUAGAUAAAUAAUUAUAAAUAUUUAUUGUUAAAGAUAAUAAUUAAGUUUUUAUUUUACUUAAGUAAAAUAUAAAAAUAAAAUUUAAAAGUACUUCAUUCCUUCAAAAUAAUUUAAAUAUAUCAAAAAAUUAUUCAAUAAAUACGAAAGUUCAUCCCAAAAAUUAUUUUAUAUUAGUUGAUAGUUUAAACUAAGUAAGGUUAUUUUGGUAUAUAUAAUAUUUUGCAAAGGGUAUUUUCGGAAGGAAGAAAAGUCAAAACUGCUUCUGCAUCUGUUUCAAGAGAGAAACUAUUUUUUCUGUUUUUUCAAAACUCUUUCUGCUUCUAGACAAAAGUACUUUUUUCUCUAAGAAAAAGCUUUUUUGAAAGAAAAAAAAAACACUUUUGACAUGGUAAGGAGCUUAGCCAAACAGGCUAUUACUCCCAUAAGAAAGGUGACACUUGUAAUUUCUGAUUAAUUUACACAGCUACGUAAAUCGAUUAUGCUAAUCAUAUAUUCAAAAACGAAAGUAUUUUUUUUUCUUCCAUGUCAUGUAUUAUGACAUCAGUAAGCUUGCGUAGUUUAAUUUGGUCGGUAAUACGGAUAAAUAUGCUCACUUUUUAUAAAUUGAAUUCCCAAUUAUUUGUUUCUUAACUCAUAAACAAACUCUUGGGUGACUCCGAAUCUGAACAACGAAUUCUUAUAUAUGAUCUUAUCUAGUGACAGCCUUUAUGCUUACUUUUGACCUACCACAGUAACGAUUUACUAUUAAAUAUAUAAUUCUUCUUAUAAAAAAAAUAUCUUUAUUGUUUUUUUAUUUCUAAUUAGUCUUCAAUUAUUGAAAUAAUUGUACCAAUUUGAAAUUUUUAUGACUUCUUAAGUCAAAUGCAGAUUUAUUUAUAGUAAUUACUAAUAAGAAAUCCAUCUAUUCUUAUUGAGGAGGUUUAAAAUUUACUUAGUAAUUAAAAAAAUUAAAAUUUAAGUAUGUAUAUCACCAAGAGUUACGGUAUGAUGGAUAGAAUCACUCCACCUUGAAAAUGAGAAAAUAUCUUGAUAGCACCUUCUCUUUUAAUAGGCGUGAAUCCGAAUUAAUUGGGACCGAGGAGAAUCACAAAAAAUCCUACACGAACAUAAAAAGUAGUACACGGUUAAUCCAUACUCAGAUAUAGCAUCAAACUCUCCACACGAUACUUGCAUAUCUAUCACCUUUUAAUAUAAUAUUCAAAGGUGUAUUCGAUUUCUCCAAGUUAUCUUUAUCUUAUAAGUAAUUAGCAAUAAGUGAAAAACGGAACAAGAAAUAAAAUUGACCUUUAAUUUAAAAGUUCAUUAAAAAUGAGUUGUUACUAAAAAUAUGAAAAGGGGAAGUUCUUGAAAAAAUCUGAAAACUCGAAUAGGCAUCUUACAAAUUCAUAUUCUCAAUGGAUUAAUUUAUUUGAAAAAUAUAGGAAUAAAAUUCCACGAGAAAAUUCUGCACCUAGUAGAACAGUAGUAGCUUAUAUCUAGUCUUGAGUUUGUCCAAUUACUCAUCCAUUACAGAAUCAGCAUUCAAUCACAAAAAACGUAAAACAUUCUCUAUUUCUGAAAUUUUCAACUCAAAACAGUACAACAUGUUGGAUCUAUUUCGGCCUAGGAACAUCAUAAAAUGUACCUGCGGUCAAAUACCUUUGACUGAGGAGCAGCUGACCAAUAUUUUCAAGGCGUACGAUUCCAACCGCGAUGGCUACCUUUCCAAAGAAGAACUCACGGCGGCUUUCCGGGAGUUAGGAUCCAUUUUUCCGGGAUAUCGAGCCGCCCGAGCCCUUCACCGUGUUGAUAGGAAUGGUGAUGGUCUGAUUAAUAAGAAGGAGUUGGAACAACUGGUCCAGUAUGCAAGCAAACGUGGUUAUAGGCUAAGAAAUGCUUGUUCCAGCAAGUAGCUUGGAUAGAGAAGGUGGUUAUGAGGGAAUUUUCAAUCCUAGUGACCUUCAAGUUUGUUAUAAAAUAUGUGUGUGGGUGUGUAUUUGGUAGGUUUCUUUUUCUUGUCACUUUACUGUUACACUUGUACUAGUGGAAUAUGGAUGCUCUUGAGUUUUCAGAGCAUACUCGGUAAAAUUUAGUAAGUACUAAAUAAAGAGAAAUUUUACCACGUGAGUUACAUAAUCGUUGGUAUCAACGUGUAUAUAUUGCGAUAGUCAAGUACCAAUCGGAAGGAUUUGGAGCAUUAUGUAUAACGGAAAAUCUCAUCAUAUACGAUGAAGACAUAAAACCGUUAGGCAAUUACUCUCUAGAGGAAUUAUCACGAUUGACUACGCGAAGUCAAGCGAUAAUGUGUCAGAUCCACUUAAGAAAGGCCUAACUAGAGAGGUAGUUGAAAGAUUAUCAUGGAAAAUGGGACAAUGGCCGAUGACAAGUUAUUGUAGCGGUAACUCUACCUAGAAGACUCGAGAUCCUAAGAUCUAUGUUCAAGGAGAUCAAAUAAAGUCAUUAACGAUGGUUCAACAUUGUCAAAUAAAAAAAAUAAUUUAGUCCACUCUCGUGAUGAGAUAAUGUUCAGUACCAAGGAUAAAGUAUUAAGGCUUUUUAAUGGUUUCUAAAUUUGAUACGGGGUAUAUCAAAUAGUGUAUCUACAGGAUGACACGUUUAGGAAUCACCUAUAUAAGUGUAAAAUGUUAGUCGCUUCAAGGAGAAUUUUGUAAGGCCAGUUCUCUACGCACUUAUUAUCACGACCCAAAAUCUCAACAUGUCUUUUGGCACCUAACACACUUGCUAGGCAAACCGACAAUCACAUAACAACUAAACAUUUGAAUAAAACAUGUUUUAAUAAGCUCAACAGUGGAAAAUCUCAUAAACAUCUCAUAAAAAUAACUGAAAUGCUACUACAACCACCCCAAAAUCUAAUGUCAACGAGUACAUGAGCACUACUAAGUAUCAACAUAACCCAAAUUCUAGUACAACUGUAUGAGUAAUAGAACAGUACUAAAGAAAAUAAAAGAAAGGAGAGUCAAGGUCUGCGGAUGUCAUAACAACUACCUCAAAGUCUCCGAGCAGGUACUAGCACAGAUCUAGCAAUCACCUCGUCCAGAUGUACCAGAAUCUGCACACGAAGUGCAGAAUAUAGUAUGAGUACAACCGACCCCAUGUACUCAAUAAGUAACAGAACUAACAUUGGGCUGAAAGCAGUGACGAGGUCAUAAGGAUACAGUCAGAACAAAUAUGAUGACAACACAGGUAUAAUAAUGACAAUGACAAUAAAUAACUUAGAGAAAUUUCCAUAUCAGCUCGUUCAGGGUAUAUAAAUUUAGACAUGCUUUCAAGUUAAUAUUUAAAGACCAACACUGAUAAGAACAUGUCAAGUAUAGCUAGAAUGAGGAAUGGUACAUCUCUAUGCCUACAUGUCAAAUAUGCAUGUCAAUUAUAUGAUUUUACGGUGGUAUCCCCAAAUACUCACUCUCUCAAAAAUACUCAAUAUGAUUGCCAAAUGCCCAUACAAUCCAUACACAAACACUCAGCACUAUACGGGUACCUGGCAUCAAAGCCCCUCACCAAAGUACGUGUAUAUAUAUCAUUAUGCUUGCGCUCACUGCUGGUAUGUUAGACUCUGGAGGGGCGGAUCGUGCCUGUCACGACCCAAUUUCCAAUAUAGGUCGUGAUGGCACCCAACACCGUUGUUAGGCAAGCCAACAUUGAUCAAUCUAGUGGUUUCCCGUUUUUAAAAUGUUUGCUAAGAGAAUAACAUUCCUCAUUGUUAAAAGAUUUAGCAAUUUACAUAUGUAAAAUAAUUAAACGAAAGCAACUGAGUGCAAAUCGUAAUCAUAAAAAUAAAUCCAAAAUCAUAAGUCUACUAGUGUGUGCCAAGACCUGGUGUCACAAGUAUAUCAGCAUUCUAGUAGAAUAUAUAAAAGAAUACGAGUCUACUGUCUAAAAGGAAAUAGACAGAAAAUAAAUCAAAAGAGAGACUCCGGCUGCUACUGAACGGCUCGGAAGGGCAACUCAUCGUGUGGUCUCGGGCCAGAAGUCAAGCGUGCGCCGAACUGAUAACCAGAUGCACCUACCUCAGAUCCUACACAUCAAAUGUAGAAGUGUAGCGUAAGUACAUAAACAACAUGUACCCAGUAAGUAUCUAGUCUAAUGNNNNNNNNNNNNNNNNNNNNNNNNNNNNNNNNNNNNNNNNNNNNNNNNNNNNNNNNNNNNNNNNNNNNNNNNNNNNNNNNNNNNNNNNNNNNNNNNNNNNNNNNNNNNNNNNNNNNNNNNNNNNNNNNNNNNNNNNNNNNNNNNNNNNNNNNNNNNNNNNNNNNNNNNNNNNNNNNNNNNNNNNNNNNNNNNNNNNNNNNNNNNNNNNNNNNNNNNNNNNNNNNNNNNNNNNNNNNNNNNNNNNNNNNNNNNNNNNNNNNNNNNNNNNNNNNNNNNNNNNNNNNNNNNNNNNNNNNNNNNNNNNNNNNNNNNNNNNNNNNNNNNNNNNNNNNNNNNNNNNNNNNNNNNNNNNNNNNNNNNNNNNNNNNNNNNNNNNNNNNNNNNNNNNNNNNNNNNNNNNNNNNNNNNNNNNNNNNNNNNNNNNNNNNNNNNNNNNNNNNNNNNNNNNNNNNNNNNNNNNNNNNNNNNNNNNNNNNNNNNNNNNNNNNNNNNNNNNNNNNNNNNNNNNNNNNNNNNNNNNNNNNNNNNNNNNNGAGAUUGUGCCCAAACCCUCAAUUUGGUGCCAAACGACUUGCAACUAGUAAAAUGUUAUUUAAAAUAGUUAAUACACGCUUAAAGUUCAUAUCAGAACUAUCAAAGUGAUUUCCCAAGCCUAUUUGCAAAAUUCCUAAAAUUCACCCCGGGCCCACGUGGGAUUCCGAAAAGUUUUGAAGAAAGUUGUUACCCAUAACCUCAUGAACUCAAAUAUAUGAUUUUUACUAGAUUCCAUAAAGAAUUUCAUGAUUAAAUCUCAUUUUUAUCAAAAACCUAGGUUUUCACCCAAACCCAUAAUAUUCACUAUUUUACAUGUUAUAAUCUACCUAUAAACUAUGUAUUUAACACACAUUGUAUAGAAAUUACUUACCUCAAAGUGCUAGGUAAAAUCCCAUCGCUAAGAGCUCCAAAUAUCGCCCAACAAUGGAAAUAAAUGAGCGAAAAUGACUAAGUCCCAUUUUAAAAGAGACCUCACUACAUCAAGCGAUCUCGCACCUGCGGUGGUUGGGGCGCACAUGCGGAUCCCGGGCUGCCCUUCCUUGGCCGUUUCUGCGAGCUCGCACCUGCGGCUGGCCAAGCGCAGGUGCAAUUAUUACAACAGCUGGGAGCUUCAGCUGUUGCUCCCAAUUUUCAACUUGGUUCGAGCCUCGUCCGAUUGACAUUCGAGGCCCCCGGGGCCUCGUCCAAAUAUACCAACAAGUUUAAGAUCAUAAGACGGACUCGCUCGAACUCUCGAAACGCCCAAAACAAAAUUAAAACUAAGAAUCACAUCCCAAAACCAAUUGAAUCAAACUUAUGAACUUCAAGUUCUUCAAUUUACUCCCAAUGCACCGAAACGCACUUAAACUACUUGGAAUGACACCAAAUUUUGCGUGCUAGUCUUAAAUGACAUUACGGAACUAUUCCUUAUCUCGGAAUUCCAUUUGGACCUCGAUAUCACCAAACCCACUCCAAACCAAAUUUAAAGAACUUCUAAAACCUUCAAAGAACCAACUUUCACUAUUAUACGCCAAGACGCUCCCGGGUCAUCCAAAACCCGAUCCGAACAUACGCCCAAGUCUGAAAUCAUCAUACAAACCUGUUGGAGCUGUCAAAUCCCGAUUCCAAGGUCGUUUACUCAAAAUGUUGAUCAAAGUCAAACUUAGCCUUUUAAGGUCAACUUAAGGAACCAAGUGUUCCGAUUUCGACCCGAACCCUUCCAAAUCCCGAACCAACCAUCCUCGCAAGUCAUAAAAUAGUAAAAGCACGUACGAGAAGUCUUAUUUAGGGGAAUGGGGUUCUAGAAAGAAAAAUGAGCGGUCGGGUCGUUACAUUCUCCACCUCUUAAACAAACGUUCAUCCUCGAACGGGUUUAGAAUCAUACCUGGAGUGCUGAACAAGUUAGGAUAUCUGCUCUGCAUGUCCUCCUUGAACUCUCAAGUCACCUCCUCGACUGGUUGGCCCCUCCACUGAACCUUUACCGCAUAAAUCCUCUUGGAUCUCAACUGGCGAUCCUGCCUAGCAACAAUGGGAAUUGUCUCCUCCUCAUAACCCAGGCUCUCAUCUAACUGAAUCGUGCUGAAGUCUAACACAUGUGACAAGUCGGCAUGAUACCUCCGGAGCAUAGACACGCAAAAAAUCGGAUGAACUCCUGAUAGGCUAGGAGGUAAAGCAAGCUCAUAAGCAACCUCCCCAACUUGCUUCAACAGCUCAAAUGGGCCUAUAAACCUUGGGUUCAGCUUGCCCUUCUUCCUGAAUCUCAUAAUACCCUUCAUCGGUGAGACUUUCAAGAGAACCUUCUCGCCUACCAUAAAUGAUACAUCACGCGCCUUUUGAUCCGCGUAACUCUUCUGUCUGGACUGUGCUGUGUAAAGUCGCUCCUGAAUCAACUUUACCUUUUCUAAGGCAUCCUUCACCAAAUCAGUACCACAUAACUUAGCCUCGCUGGGCUCAAACCACCCGAUGGGAGAACGAUAUCGCCGACCAUAUAAAGCCUCAAAUGGAGCCAUCUCGAUGCUGGACUGGUAACUGUUGCUGUAAGAAAACUCAGCCAAAGGCAAGAAUCGAUCCCACUACCCUCCAAAGUCAAUCACACAUGCUCUGAGCAUGUCCUCCAGGAUCUGAACUAUUCGGUCCGACUACCCGCCGGUCUUUGGAUGAAAUAUUGUGCUGAGCUCUAUACGGGUCCCCAACUGUCACGAUCCAAACUCCCUCCGUAUAACAUCGUGAUGCCACCUAGUCUCUACAACUAGGUAAGCCUAACAAAUUUUGAAAAAUGACAAAACGAAAGUAAAACUUGGCAACUAACAGUAGUGGAUAACUGAAUAACUAGUAAUAAUGUCGCCUGGCAUGUACAAUAACCAAUACUCUAUAAAUACACAGUCUUCCCAAAAUCUGGAACAUCAUAAGUCAUAAGCUACAAAAGGAAACUAGUAUCUCUAUACACCAGAGUCUAAUAAAAGAAGUACGGAAGGUAAAUGACAUAGGAGAGAAUAGAGGGGGACUCCGAGGUCUGCGGACGCGGCAGAUGUACCUUGAAGUCUCCGUACAGCAGUAAGAACUCUCAGCUAAUAGCGAGGCUGAUAAGUAGAACCUGGAUCUGCACACAAAACAUAUGCAAAAGAGUAGUAUGAGUACACCACAACGGUACCCAGUAAGUGCCAAGCCUAACCUCGGUAGAGUAGUGACAAGGUCAGGUCAGGCCCACUGGUAUAUAAUAAUAAAGCGGGAGAAUAUAACAGUAUAAUAAGAGACUGAAAUUUAAUAAAAAGAGAAACACAGCGAUAUAGCAAUACAACAUACAGGGAUAAAUAGCAGGGGAUCUCCCGAGAUAUCGUCUCGUAGUCCCAAAAAUAAAUGUGCAAGGAGAACUCCCGAGGUACCGCCUUGUAGUCUUAAAAGUAAAUGUGCAAGGAGAACUCCCGAGGUACCGCCUUGUAGUCUCAAAAGUAAAUGUGCAUGGAGAACUCCUGAGGUACCGCCUCGUAGUCUCAAAAGUAAAUAUACAGGGAGAACUCCCGAGGAACCGCCAUGUAGUCUUAAAAGUAAAUGUAUAGGGAGAACUCCCGAGGAACCGCCUCGUAGUCUCAAAAGUAAAUACGCAGGGAGAACUCCCGAGGAACCGCCUCGUAGUCUCAAAAGUAAACACACAGCUCAACUGAUAAAUACCAUAGUUAACAGCAAGAAUUCUAUAGUUAAGACUGAUAAAGAACAAGAAAAAUAGGAAAAUCAACUAGGCAUGCUUCACAGAGUUCAAAUAAGCAGUUAAAAUAUGUAGAUAUGAAAUAUUAAACUAAACGGGAAAACUAUUUUGGAAUAGCUCAAUUAAGAAUGAAAACAGACUAAUACUCCUUUAAGCGGUAUAACUCAAAUUAAAGGAAAAAUAGGUUGCUACUCAGUAAAAUUAAACAGUUUUUUCAACAAAUAGACCGUGUACGUACUCGUCACCCCACGUACACGGCGCUCACAUAUCACAAAAGUACCAAAUCCUAAGGGGAUUUCCCCCACACAAGUUUAGGCAAGCCACUUACCUUGAACCAAGCUCAAUCAAUCGGUAACAAUGCCUUUUUCACGAAUAUCCGACUCUGAAUGGCCCAAAUCUAGCCAAAAACAAUUACAUAUCAUGAAUACAACUAUAAUAGACUAAUCUAAUUAAUGAAAUCAAGAUUUUAACAAAAAUUCCAAAAUCCGUCCUAAAAAGUCGACUCAGGCACACGUCUCAAAAUCGGACAAAAAUCACAAAAUCUAAAAGUCCAUUCAUUCACGAGUCCAACCAUAUCAAAUUUAUCAAAAUUUGACCUCAAAUGACCACUCAAAACCCAAAAUCCAACUCUUCAAAUCCCUAGCCUCAAACUCCCAAAUUCCAACUUAAAUACACACUAACUAGGUGGAAAAAUAAAUAGGGAAGCAAGAUUAUUGAUAAAAAAAUAAGCACAAGGGACUUACCUCAUGAAAUCCCUCGAAAAUGCUCUCAAGAAAUCGCCAAAACCGAGCUCAAAAUGAUGAAAUGAAGAAAAUAUCGUGAAGUCUCGCAUUUAAGGACUAUGCCCAGGCCUUCCGCACCUGCGGUAACUUGGCCGCUUCUACAGUCUCGUAGGUGCGCCCCUUGACCGCAUUUGCGCUAACCGUAUGUGCGGAAAAUUCCCCUACAUCUGCACCUUUGCCCGCAUCUGCACGCCUGUGUGCGCUACUGCGCAAACCGCUUCUGCGCGCGAAUGGACGCAUCUACGGCCUCUGCCCAAGGCCUCCCUGGCCGCUUCUGCGAGCACGCAUCUGUGGUCCCCAAUCCGCAGAUGCGAUUACACCAGCAGUUGCAAACCUUCAGCCAAUCUUCAACUUUGAACCUUGGUCCGUUAACCACCCGAAAUCAACCUGAGGCCCCCGGGACCUCAACCUAACACACCAACAAGUCUCAUAACAUCAUACGAAAUUAAUCGAAUCUUCAAAUCACCUCCAACAACAUCACAAACAUGAAUUACACACAGAUUCAAGCCUAAGAAACUUCAAAAUUUCCAAAUUUUACAAACGACGCCGAAACCUAUCAAAUCACGUUCGAUUGAUCUCAAAUUUUGCACACAAGUCAUAAAUGACAUUACGGACCUACUAUAACUUCCGAAAUCGGAAUCCGACCCCGAUAUCAAAAAGUCCACUUCCGGUCAAAUUCUCCAAAAAUUUGACUUUCGCCAUUUCAAGCCUAAAUCAGCUACAGACCUCAAAUUCAUAGUCCGGACACGCUCCUAAGUCCAAAAUCACCCAACGAAGCUAACGGGACCGAUGGAACUCCAUUCCGGAGUCGUCUUCACACAGUUCCAACUACGGUCAAAAUCCUAAGACUUAAGCUUCCGUUUUAGGGACUAAGUAUCCCAAAACACUUCGACACCAAAAAUAAAACCUCCCGGCAAGUCACUUAAGCAGAAAAAUAUACGGGGAAAGCAGUUAAUAAGGGAUCGGGGCUAUUACUCUCAAAACGAUCAGCCGGGUCGUUACAUCCUCUCCCUCUUAAAAUAAUCGUUUGUCCUCGAACGAGCAUAAAGACAUACCUGAAGUGGUGAAAAGAUGAGGAUAAAGGCUGCGUAUAUCCUGCUCGGUCUCCCAAGUUUCCUCCUCGACCGCCUGACCCCUCAACUGAACCUUCACAGAAGCAAUAUUCUUUGACCUCAGCUUUCAAACUUGCCUGUCCAAAAUAGCCAUUGGCUCCUCAACAUAAGAUAGAUCCUUGUCCAACUGGACUGAGCUGAAAUCCAGCACAUGACACGGAUCACUGUGAUACUUCCCGAUCAUAGAAACAUGGAAUAUCGGAUGAACUCAUGCUAGACUGGGAGAUAAGGCAAGCUCAUAAGCAACCUCUCCAACUCGCCGCAACACCUCAAAUGGACCAAUGAACCUUGGUCUCAGCUGGACCUUCUUCUCGAACCUCAUAACGCCCUUCAUAGGCAAAACCCAGAGCAAGACCCACUCUCCAACCAUGAAUGCAACAUCGCGAACCUUCCGAUCCGCAUAACUCUUCUAUAUAGAUUGGGCUAUGCAAAGUCGAUCUUGAAUCACCUUCACCUUAUUCAGAGCAUCUUGAACCAAGUCUGUACCCAAUAAUCUAGCCUCACCUGGCUCGAACCAACCUAUUGGAGACCGACACCUCCUACCAUUCAAAGCCUCAUAUGGUGACAUCUGAAUGCUCGAUUGAUAACUGUUAUUGUAGGCAAACUCCGCAAGUGGCAAGAACUAUUCCCAAGCACCCCCAAAAUCUAUCACACAAGCGCGGAGCAUAUGCUCCAGAAUUUUAAUAGUGCACUCGGACUGUCCAUCCGUCUGAGGGGGAAAUGUUGUGCUCAACUCAACCCGAGUACCUAACUCCUGUUGUACAGCCUUCCAGAACAGUGAUGUAAACUGCGUACCCCGGUCAGAGAUGAUGGAUACCGGUACGCCAUGAAGCCUGACGAUCUCGCAUAUAUAAAUUUUAGCCAAUUGCUCGGAAGGAAUAGGUAGNNNNNNNNNNNNNNNNNNNNNNNNNGGUAAUAUCAUAAUCCUUAAGCAGCUCUAACCACCUCCUCUAACGCAAAUUAAGAUCCUUCUGUUUGAACAGAUGUUGCAAACUCUGGUGAUCGGUGUAAAUCUCACAAGGGACACCGUACAAGUAGUGCCGCCAAAUUUUCAAGGCAUGAACAAUAGCUUCUAACUCAAGGUCGUGGACAUGAUAGUUCUUUUCAUGCACCUUCAGCUGUCUGGAUGCGUAGGCAAUCACCUUACCGUCCUGCAUCAACACUGCACCGAGACCAAUCCGCGAUGCAUCACAAUAUACAGUAUAAGACCUUGAACCUGUAGGUAAUACCAAUAUUGUGGUUGUAGUCAAAGCUAUCUUGAGCUUCUGAAAGCUCUCUUCACGUUCCUCUGUCCACCUGAACGGUGCACCCUUCUGGGUUAGCCUGGUCAUAGGUGCUGCAAUAGAUGAGAAACUCUCUACAAAUAGACGGUAAUACCCCGCCAAACCAAGAAAACUUCGGAUCUCCAUAGCUGAUGAUGGUCUAGGCUAACUUUACACUACUUCCACAUUAUUUGGAUCCACCUGGAUCCCAUCACUCGAUACUACAUGACCCAAGAAAUCCAGUGAGUCUAGCCAAAACUCACACUUUGAAAAUUUUGCAUAUAACCUCCUUUCUCUCAGGGUCUGAAGAACAGUCAUCAGGUGCUGCUCAUGAUCCUCCCGAGUCCGGGAAUACACCAGAAUGUCGUCAAUUAACACAAUGACGAAUGAGUCAAGAUAAGGCUCGAAUACGCUGUGCAUCAGGUGCAUAAAAGUAGCUAGGGUAUAGGUCAGCCCAAAUGACAUCACAAGGAACUCGUAGUGACCAUACCGAGUCCCGAAAGUAGUCUUCGGGAUAUCUGGCUCCCGAAUCAUCAACUGAUGAUAGCCGGAACGUAAAUCAAUCUUGGAAAAUACCCUGGAACCCUAUAGUUGAUCAAAUAAAUCAUCAAUACGAGGCAAUGGAUACAUGUUCUUCAACUGGUAGUAAUCAAUACACAUCCGCAUAGAACUAUCCUUCUUCUUCACAAAUAAGACAGGAGCAACCCAAAGUGACACACUGGCUGAUUGAAGCCCUUAUCAAGCAACUCCUGAAACUGCUCCUUCAACUCCUUCAAUUCAGGAGGAGCCAUACGAUAUGGAGGAAUAGAGAUGGGUUGAGUGCCCGACAACAAAUCAAUGCCAAAAUUAAUAUCUCUGUCAGGCGGCAUGCCCGGAAGAUCAGCUGGAAACACAUCUGGAAAGUCCCUCACUACUGGAACUGACUCAACUGUAGGGGUAUCAAUACUGAGAUCUCUCACAUAAGCAAGAUACGCGUCACACCCCUUCUCAACCAUUCGUUGAGCUUUAAGAAAUGAAAUAACUCUGUUGGGACUAUACUCUAAGGUACCUCUCCACUCAAAUCGCGGUAAACCUGGCAUAGCCAGCGUCACGGUCUUAGCGUGAAUAUUAAGAAUAGCAUAAUGGGGCGACAACCAGUCCAUGCCUAAGAUAACAUCAAAGUCUACCAUGUUGAGUAAUAAUAAAUUGGCUCUGGUCUCAAAACAAUUAAGAGCAAUCAAACACGACCGAUACGAGCGGUCCACAACAAGAGAAUCUCCCACAGGAGUGGACACAUAAAUAGGGGAACUCAAAGAAUCCCGAGAUACGCCCAAAUACGGGGCAAAAUAAAAGGACGCAUAGGAAUAUGUAGAGCCUGGGUCAAAUAAUACUGACGCAUCUCUAUGAUAGACCGGAACAAUACCUAUAAUGAUAGAGUCGAAAGCAACUUCCUCUAUACGAGCCAGAAGAGCGUAAUAUCUCGCCUGGCCUCCCCCUCUAGGGUGACCUCGACCUCCCCGACCUCCACUUGAACUGGCUGAGUAGGUGGGUAGUAGCUGGUGCUAGAAUCAUAGCUUGAUGACCCGGUGGAGUACGUGGUGGCUUAGAAGUCUACGGAGGUGCACCCCUCCUAAGUCUGGGGCAAUCCCUCACCAUAUGGCGGUUGUUGCCACACUCAAAACAACCCCUCGGAGGGCGUGGCUGCUGUGACUGACUCGGUCCAGGUAUGCUGUACUGGCCGCUAAAAGAACCCCGAGCAGGAGGCACACUAGCUACUAGCGGUGCAUAAUAAGGCUUCUGGGUUCUAGCAGUGGCUGGAACACCACUGGCGGCUGGAAGGGCUGAAUGAAAGGGGUGACUCUCAUAACCCCUACCAUGUCGAACUGCAGUUGGGGCACGAGUACCGUUAUAAGUGCCAGACUCUCGAGACCUCUUGGCUUCCCUCUCCUCUCUAUCCCGGGGAAGCAUGCCCUCCAAUCUCCUAGCAAUACUCACAACCUGCUGAUAAGAAAUAUCCAUCUCCAACUCCCUGGCCAUACGAAUACGGAUACUAGGGUAGAGUCCCUCAAUAAAUCAAUGAACCCUCUCUCGAAUUGUGGCAACCAAGGCCGGUGCAUGUCGGGCCAAAACACUAAAACAAACUGCAUCUAACACAGUCAUAGCACCCAGGCGCAUCUGCUCAAACUCCGCGCGCCAUGCAUCCCUGAGGCUCUGAGGGACAUACUCUCUCAAAAACAUGUCCGAAAACUGAGUCCAUAUAAGUGAAGUUGCCUCAUCUAGACUACUAAACUCAUAAGCACGCCACCACUGAUAGGCUGCUCCUCUAAGCUAGAAGGUGGUAAAAGAAACCCCACUCAUCUCCGCUAUGCACAUAGUACGGAGAAUAUGAUGACACUCCUCCAGAAAACCUUGGCAUCCUCUGACACCAAUCCACUGAAGGCAGGAGAGUGGUACUUCUUGUACCUCUCAAGUCUGAGCUGCUCCGCCUCAGAAACUACUGCCCUAACCUCGUGCUAAACCGGAGCUACCGGCUGUAGAGGUAUAAUCUUUGGAAUCUGGUCGGCCUGAACCCGCUGCUCUGGAGUAUCGGCGACGGGAGUCUGUGCUCCUCCCCCGUCCUGAGAUGUGGCAGGAGCAAGUGGAAUCAAUCCAGCCUGAGCUAAGGUGCUGAACAUGCUCAGAAAUUGGGCUAGAGUCUCCUGGAGGGCCGGUGCAGCAACAGGUACCUCAGGUGCCUGCCCUCCAGCUGGAGCUACUGGGGGCUCCUCUGUAGCAGCUCGUGCGGGUGCUCUAGUUGCACCGUGUGAACGUCCUCGGCCUCUACCCCAUCCCCGGCCCCGGCCUCUCGCAGCUCUACUAGGGGGCGCGGGUUCCUGGUCAUCAGAUCUGCAUGUACGUGUCCUCACCAUCUGUGAAAGAAUAGAAUACAGAAGUUUAGAAAUUUUGAUGUCAACAAAUUUCGCACGAUAAGGAAUCAACGAAGUAUAAUUUUUCCUAACAGUUCUAUAGCCUCCCGAAGAUAAGUACAGACGUUACAGUACCGAUCCGCGAGACUCUAAUAAACCGGCUUGUGACUCUCGACACCUAUGAACCUAGAGCUCUGAUACCAACUUGUCACGACCCAAACUCCCUCCGUAUAACGUCGUGACGGCACCUAGUCUCUGCAACUAGGUAAGCCUAACAAAUUUUGGAAAAUGACAAAACGAAAGUAAAGCUUGGCAACUAACAGCAGUGGAUAACUGAAUAACUAUUAACAAUGUCGCCCGGCAUGUACAAUAACCAAGGUAUAUAAUAAUAAAGUAGGAGAAUAUAACAGUAUAAUAAGAGACUGGAAGUUAACAAAAAGAGAAACACAGUGAUAUAGCGAUACAACACACAGGGAUAAACAGUAGGGGAUAUCUCGAGAUACCGUCUCGUAGACCCAAAAAUAAAUGUGCAAGGAGAACUCCCGAGGUACCGCCUCGUAGUCUCAAAAGUAAAUGUGCAGCGAGAACUCCCAAGGAACUGCCUCGUAGUCUCAAAAGUAAAUGUGCAGGGAAAACUCCCGAGGAACCGCCUCAAAUUAAAGGAAAAACAGGUUGCUACUCAGUAAAAUAAAAGGGGGUUUUCAACAAAUAGCCCGUGUACGUACUCGUCACCCCACGUACACGGCGCUCACAUAUCACAACAGUACCAAAUUCUAAGGAAAUUUCCCCCACACAAGGUUAGGCACUUACCUCGAACCAAGCUCAAUCAAUUGGUAACAAUGUCUUUUCCACGAAUAUCCAACUCUGAAUGGCCCAAAUCUAGCCAAAACCAAUUACAUAUCAUGAAUACAACUAUAAUAAACUAAUCUAAUUAGUGAAAUCAAGAUUUUAACAAAAAUUCUGAAAUCCGUCUAAAAAGGUUACCCGGGCCCACGUCUCGAAAUCGGGAAAAAUCAUAAAAUUUGAAAGCCCGUUCACUCACGAGCCCAACCAUACAAAAUUUAUCAAAAUCCGACCUCAAAUGACCACUCAAAACCCAAAAUCCAACUCUUCAAAUCCAUAGCCUCAAACUCCCAAAUUACAACUUAAAUACACACUAACUAGGUGGAAAAUAAAUGGGGAAGCAAGAUUAUUGAUCAAAAAUAAGCACAAGGGACUUACCUCAUGAAAUCCCUCGAAAAUGCUCACAAGAAAUUGCCAAAACCGAUCUCAAAAUGAUGAAAUAAAGCAAAUUUUGCGAAGUCUCGCAUUUAAGGACUCUGCCCAGGCCUUCCGCACCUACGGCAACUUGGCUGCUUUUGCGGUCUCGGAGGUGCGCCCCUUGCCCGCUUUAGCGCCAAUCGCAUGUGCGGAAAAUCCCCUGCAUAUGCGCCUUGCCCACAUCUGCGUGUCUGUGUGCUCUUCUGCACAAGCCGCUUCUGCGCGCGAAUGGCCACAUCUGCGGCCUCUGUCCAUGGCCUCCCUGGCCGUUUCUGUGGUCCAUUUUCUCGCUUCUGCGAUCACGCAUCUGCGGUCCCCAAUCCGCAGAUGCGAUUACACAAGCAGUUGCAAACCUUCAGCCAUUCUUCAACUUCGAACCUUGGUCUGUUAACCACCCAAAAUCAACCUGAGGCCCCCGGGACCUCAACCAAACACACCAACAAGUCUCAUAACAUCAUACGAACUUAAUCAAAUCUUCAAAUCACCUCCAACCACAUCGAAAAUACGAAUUACACACAAAUUCAAGCCUAAGAAACUUCAAAAUUUUCAAAUUCUACAAACAACUCCAAAACCUAUCAAAUCACGUCCGAUUGACCUCAAAUUUUGUACACAAGUUAUAAAUGACAUUACGGACCUACUGCAACUUUUGGAAUCAGAAUCCGACCCCGAUAACAAAAAGUCCACUUCCAGUCAAAUUCUCCAAAAAUUCGACUUUCGCAAUUCUAAGCCUAAAUGAGCUACAAACCUCAAAUUCACAGUCCGGACACGCUUCUAAGUACAAAAUCACCCAACGGAGAUAAUGGGACUGACGGAACUCCAUUCCGGAGUCAUCUUCACACAGUUUCGACUACUGUCAAAAUUCUAAGACUUAAGCUUCCGUUUUAGCGACUAAGUGUCCCAAAACACUCCGAACCCAAAAAUAAAAUCUCCCGGCAAGUCACAUAAGCUUAAAAGGAUACGGGGGAAGCAGUUAAUAGGGGAUCGGGGCUAUUACUCUCAAAACGACCGGCCGGGUCGUUACACCAACUCGCUCUCUACGACUCUUCAGAAAUGUGAAGUAAACUGAGGGUCUCUAUCUGAUAUGAUGGAAAUCGGCACACCAUGCAACCGAACUAUCUCCUGAAUAUAAAUUUGGGCCAACCUCUCUAAAGUAUACAUAGUCACAACCGAAAUGAAGUGUGCCGACUUUGUCAACCUGUCGACAAUGACCCAAACUGCAUCAAACUUCCGCAAGGUCCGCGGCAACCCAACUACGAAUUCCAUAGUAAUGCGCUCCCAUUUCCACUCUGGUAUAGUCAUCUACUAGAGUAGGCCACCUGGCCUCUGGUGCUCAUACUUAACUUGCUGGCAAUUCAAGCACCUAGAUACAUACACUUAACCUGCUGGCAAUUCAAGCACCUAGAUACAUACUCAACUAUGUCUUUCUUCAUCCGCCACCACGAAUAAUGUUGUCUCUAGUCACGAUACAUCUUCAUAGCACUUGGAUGAAUAGAAUACCAAGAACUGUGUGCCUCCUCUAGAAUCCUCCCUCUCAAGCCAUCGACAUUAGGAACACAUAAACGACCUUGGAGUUGCAGAGCACCAUCCUCGCCGAUAUAAACCUCCUUGGCACUACCAUGCAGUACUGUAUCUCUGAGAAUCACCAAGUGCGGAUCAUCAAACUGUCGAGCCUUGAUCUGCUCCAAUAGUGAAAACUGGGAAACGACGCAUGUAAGAACUCGGCUGGGCUCUGAAAUAUCCAACCUCACAAGUCUGUUAGCCAAAGACUGAAUGUCCAAGAUAUGAAUUCCAAGUUACUCAUACUCUCUGCCUUCCUACUCAAGGCAUCCGCGACCACAUUCGCCUUGCCCGGAUGAUAAAGAAUGGUGAUGUCUUAGUCUUUUAGUAACUCAAGCCACCUACACUACCUCAAAUUGAGUUCCCUUUGCUUGAACAAAUGUUGCAAACUGCGAUGAUCAGUGUAAACCUCAGUGGACACCCCAUAAAGAUAAUGCCUCCGGAUCUUAAGAGCAAGAACAGUCACGGCCAACUCCAAAUCGUGCACAGGAUAAUUCUUUUCAUAGGGCUUCAAUUGGCGCGAAGCAUAUGCAAUAACUCGCCUCUCCUUCAUCAAUACACAACCCAAGCCAACGCGUGAAGUGUUGCAAUACACAGUAUACAUACCCGAACCGGAAGGCAAUACUAGGACUGGUGUUGUGGUCAAAGCCGUCUUAAGCUUCUGGAAGCUCGUCUCACAAUCAUCUGACCAACGAAACUGAGCACCCUUCUGGGUCAAUCUAGUCAAAGAUGCUGCAAUAAAUGAGAAGCCCUCCACGAACCACCUCAAUCUUCUUGGGAUCCACCUUAAUACCGUCGCUAGAUACAACAUGCCCCAAGAAUGCCACAGAAUCUAACCAAAACUCACACUUUGAGAACUUAGCGUGUAGCUUCUAUUCCUGCAAGGUCUGAAGCACCGCUCUCAAGUGCUGCUCGUGCUCCUCCAUGCUACGUGCUGAAAUCAUGGGCUGAUGACCCUGUUGUACUUUCUUGCCCCAAAUUUUAGGGCAAAACCUCUUCAUGUGACCCGAAUCCCCACACUCAUAAUAACAUCUCGGCACUAUAGAUUGUUGCCCCGAAGUCUGACCCUGAUGGCCUGAAUACCCACUAGAAGAAACCUGGAUGGCUGGUGAGCGGUAUGAACUCUCUGGCAUGGCACUAAAAUAGGCGCUAGAAGAAACCUGAUGACCCGAGUACCCACUGGAAGAACCCUGAAUGGUUGGUGGGCGGUAAGAACUCUCUGGCAUAGCACUAAAAUAAGGUCACGCUGGAGCACCUCGAGGAGAUGGUGGUGUUGGAUAUGCGGGCCUGCUAGGCUGACCCCUCCCAAACUGACCUCUGCCCCCAGCCGGGGCACCUCUAAACUCUCCAGAGAAAUGGGUCCUCUUGUCCCGCUGUAUCUGCUCUCUACCCCUAUGGCGAUAUCCCUCAAUCCUCCGAGUAAUCUUUACCACUAGCUGAUAAGAAGUCCCCAUCUCAACCUCCCGGGCUAUACUAGCCCAAAAACUAGAGUGCAACCCUGCAACAGACCUCCGUACUCUCUCUAAGUUAGUAGGAAGUAUCAUAAGUGCAUGGAGAGAUAACUCAGAUAAUCUUGCCUCAUAAUCGGUCACUGACAUCUGAACCUGCUCUAGUUGCUCAAACUGACACCGCAACUCUUCCCUCUAGGAGGGUGGGAUAUACCUGUCCAAGAAAAUUUGUGUAAACUGGUCCCAAGUCAUGGGAGGAGAACCCACUGGCCUGCCGAGAAGAUAAGACUGCCACCACCUUCGGGCCCUGCCCUCCAACUGGAAAGUAAUGAAAUCCAUCCCAUGGGACUCCAAUAUCCUCAUGUUGUGUAGUUUGUCCCUACUCCUAUAAAUGAAGUCCUGGGGAUCCUCAUGUCGCUCACCUCCGAAGACAGGAGGGUGUAGCCUAGUCCAUCUGUCCAAAAGCUUCUGCGGCUCGCCGGCUGCAGCUGGUCUAGGCUCAGGUACAGCCGUUAUAACUGGUUGGGACCCGUCCACGGGUAGUGUACCCGGGGUCUGAUAUACGGCAGCUGCAUGCCCAGGUGCCUGAGCAGUAGAGGUCUGUGUUCCCCCUCCCGCCUGAGGUGUGGCUGGGUCUGCUGGAAAUAAACCAGCAUGGGUCAUAGAAUACACGAACCGCAGCAUACGGCCCAUGACCUCCUGAAAGCCCGGUGCUGACAUGAAAUCUACCAGACUGGCUCUGUUGGGGGCACCUCGCCCUGCUCUUCAACAAUGGGAUCCUCCACUGGAUUCGCUGCUGGUACAACUGGGGCAACUCUGGGAUGUCCUCGUCCCUUACCUCGGGCUGGUGCCCUCCCCCGACCUCUACCUCGGCCUCUUGCAAUAGAGGGAGCAGCUCCUCCCGGGUCUGUAACGUCUGAUGCGCGCGUUAUCACCAUCUGUGAGAGAAUAAGAGAAAGAACAUAGUUUACCAUCAACUACACGAUAGGGGAUGAAUAAAGAGUAGUUUGCUAACACUCUAUAGCCUCUCGAAGAUAAGUAUGGACGUCUCUGCACCGAUCCGCAAGACUCUAUUAGGUAUGCUCAUAACUUGUGAGCCCUACGCGAACCUAGUGCUCUGAUACCAUGUUGUCACGACCCAAUUUCCAUUAUAGGCCGUGUGGAUGCCUAAUACCAUUGUUAGGCAAGCCAACACUGAUCAAUCUAGUGGUUUCCCAUUUUUAAUAAGUUUGCUAAGAGAAUAACAUUCCUCAUUGUUAAAAGAUUUAUGAAUUUACAAAUUUAAAAUAAUUAAAUGAAAGCAACUGAGUGCAAAUCGUAAUCAUAAAAAUAAAUCCAAAAUUAUAAGUCUACUAGUGUAUGCCAAGACCUGGUAUCACAAGUAUAUAAGCAUUCUAUUAGAAUAUACAAAAGAAUACAAGUCUAUUGUCUAAAAGGAAAUAGACAGAAAAUAAAUCAAAAGAGAGAAUCUGGCUGCUAAUGAACGGCUCGAAAGGGAAGCUCACUGUGUGGUCUCGGGCAAGAAGUCAAGCGUGCGCGCCGGACUAAUAACCAGAUGCACCUGCCUCAGACCCUGCAUAUCAAAUGCAGAAGUGUAGCGUGAGUACAUAAACAACAUGUACCCAGUAAGUAUCUAGUCUAACCUCGAAGAAGUAGUGACGAGGGGUCGACUUCGACACUUACUAUGGGCCAAAAAUAUAAUAGUAUGAAGUUAUAAUUAAACAGGAUAUAUAAAAUGAUAAUAGAACUCAUAGCAGGAAAAAUAAGUAAACAGUCCUUUCAUUUCAAGUGAGAACCAAGUCAUUUCUCUCGUCUAAUCCUUUCACCUUUCAAGUCCAUGGAACAAUAUUAAAUAUAAAAGGGUUCCAAUAUCUUUACGCACGAAUUAUGCCGAGGACGUAUGGCCCGAUCCAAAUAUACAUAUAAAUAUAUUGUGCAUUGCAGGGGGUCGAACGGCCCGAACCAUAGAUACAUCAAUCAACCUGCCGAGGCGAACGGCCUACUCCCAUAAGAGUAGUAGAAAUUUACCCCGCUCGCGGAAUAUACUUGCGAAGUUUUCUCAAGUUAUCAUAAUAUUUCUCAAUUCUUUUUCAAGGUAAGAAAUUCAUCUAGGAACCUUUAAAAUAUUGAAAUUCUCAACCUCCGCUUUAAUCGAAAGAAUUAGUAAGCAUAAACAAGCAACGGUAUCAACAAAAUAUGGUGUAAGCCUAAAUCUACCCGGACAUAAGCAUGAAUAGUAGCUACGUACGGACUCUCGUCACUUCAUACGUACGUAGCCUCCCCCCCCCCCAAACACACACAAAACAAAUAGAAGUACAUAAUGAUUAGGUUCACCUAUGGGGUUAAUUCCCUCUUACAAGGUUAGAAAAGAGACUUACCUCGUCUCAAGGCCUACUUUACGGUCCGAGAUUGUGCCCAAACCCUCAAUUUGGCGCCAAACGACUCGCAACUAGUCAAAUAUUCUUUAAAAUAGUUAACACGCGCUUAAAAGUUCAUAUCUCAACUAUCAAAGUGAUUUCCCAAGCCUAUUUGCAAAUUUUCUAAAAUUCGCCCCCGGGCCUACGUGCCCGGAUUCCGGAAAUAUUUGAAGAAAGUUGUUACCCAUAACCUUAUGAAUUCAAAUAUAUGAUUUUUACUAGAUUCCAUAACGAAUUUCAUGAUUAAAUCUCAAUUUUAUCAAAAACCUAGGUUUUCACCUAAACCCAUAAUUUUCACUAAUUUACACGUUAUAAUCUACCCAUAAACUAUGUAUUUAACACACAUUGUAUAGAAAUUACUUACCUUAAAGUACUAUGUGAAAUCCCCUCUCUAAGAGUUCUAAAUAUUGCCCAACAAUGGAAAUAAAUGAGCCAAAAUGACUAAGCCCCGCUUUAAAAGAGACCUCACUGCCUCCAGCGAUCUCGCACCUGCGUUAUCACUUCUGCGGACAAAAGUCCGCUUCUACGGAAGUGCCCAGGCAGGCUGGCUCCACUUCUGCAGAUGGGGUCCCGCUUCUACGGUCCCUAUUCUGCGGAGGUUGGGGCGCACCUGCGGAUCCUGGGCUGCCCUUCCUUGGCCGCUUCUGCGAGCUUGCACCUGCGGCUGGCCAAGCGCAGGUGCGAUUAUGACAGCAGCUGGGAGGUUCAAUUGUUGCUCCCAAUUUCUAACUUGAUCUGAGCCUCGUCCGACUGAUACUCGGGGGCCCUGGAGCCCCGCCCGAACAUACCAACAAGUUUGGAAUCACAAGACGGACUCGCUCGAACUCUCAGAACACCCAAAACAACAUUAAAACUAAGAAUCACACCCCAAAACCAAUUGAAUCAAACAUAUGAACUUUAAGUUCUUCAAUUUACUCCCAAUGCGCCGAAACGUACUUAAACUACUCAAGAUGACACCAAAUUUUGCGUGCAAGUCUUAAAUGAUAUUACGGAACUAUUCCCAGUCUCAAAAUUCUAUUUGGACCUCGAUAUCACCAAACCCGCUCCAAACCAAAUUUAAAGAACUUCUAAAACCUUCAAAGAACCAACUUUCACUAUUAGGCGCCAAGAUGCUCUCGGGUCAUCCAAACCCCGAUCUGAACAUACGCCCAAGUCCGAAAUCAUCAUACGAGCCUAUUGGAAUCGUCAAAUCCCGAUUCUGAGGCCGUUUACUCAAAAUGUUGACCGAAAUCAAACUUAGCCUUUUAAGGCCAACUUAAGGAACCAAGUGUUUCGAUUUCGACUCGAACCCUUCCAAAUCCCGAAUCAACCAUCCCCGCAAGUUAUAAAAUAGUAAAAGCACGUACGGGAAGUUUUAUUUAGGGUAACGGGAUUCUAGAAAGUAAAAUGACCGGUCGGGCUGUUACAGUACCCCAAGCGCUAAUAUAAAGCCUAUAAGGCAUGCUGCAGCGUGCAGCCCGAUCUAAAAUGAUAAAUAAGACAACAAAGCAUGUUGCGGCGUGCAGCCCAAUCCACAAUAACACUCAUAACACGGCUCUCAAGAUAAACUCAAUCAUCAAUCUCUCAAGUCUCAAGGGCUCACAGAUCUCGUACCUCUCAGCCCAAAUAAUGAUAACAUGUAAUGUAAUAGUGAAUGAUAACAGAGACUGAGAUAUGAUAUGCAAAUGAAGAAUUAUGAUUGAGUACAUAAUUGCAGUUAAAGCUAAUAACUCAAAAAUAGUAGAAAUAGCCUCAUUAGGUCACAACCGAAUAAGCACAUAACCUAACAUGAUUUCUAACAUGAAUCACAGUUUAAUUACUCUAACGAGUAGGGAUUACACGGAUAAAAUAAGACUUGAUAGCAACUCAGUACAAAAAUGCCACCCGGAUCAUGGUUACUACAGUGCACGCCCACACGUCUAUCACCCUAACACAACACAAAUAACACAUUUCCCAGGAAUAAUUACCUUCAAUUCCAAGUUUAGAAAUAUUACUUACCUCAAAACGUACAACUUACUACUCCAACAAGCCAUUGCCUCGCGAAUCGGCCUCCGAACGAUUCGAAUCUAGUCACAAACAUUUAAUAUAAUCAAUAUAAGCUAUAGGACACAAUUCCAUAUGAUAAAGCUAAGAUCAUUAAUCAAAACCAAAAAGUUAACCCCGGGCACGCACCUUGGAAUCCGACAAAAUUCAUAAUUCCAGACACCCAUUCGAUUACGAGUCCAACCAUGCCAAAAUUAUCCAAUUCCAACCUCAAAUUGACAUUCAAACAUCCAUUUUUAUUUUUGAAAAGUUUCCACAAAAUCCUCCAUUUCUUCACUUUAACUCACUAAUUAGAUGCUUAAAAUAAAGAUGGAAUCAUGAAAUAAUAAUAAAUCUGAGUCAAAAAUACUUACCCCAAUUAAAAUCUUGAAAAUCCCCUCCAAAAUCGCCUACAACCGAGCUCUACAACUCAAAAUAUGAAAUAAUAACUCUAACCCUCGUUUUGGGUUUUUAACAGUAUGUCCAAUUCUUUCUUCUUCGCGAACGAGGAAGGUUCCUCAUGUUCGCGAAGCACAAAUCUCCUCAACUGCCAAUUCCUCCUUUGCAAACGCGAUUAGCGAACGCGAAGGCUAAAUGCCUGAUGACCCCAAGCCGAUCUUCUUUCUAUGCAAACGCGGCUCCCUGCUCGCGAUCGAUGCACGGCCUCCUCAAGCCUUCGCGAAUGCCACCUCUGUGUUGCGAACGCGAAGAGAAAAAAGUCACCUGCCAUCAAUAACACUAUGCGAACGCGAAGAAGAGUACACCAAAUAUCAUAUCAGCGGUUCUUUAAGACCAAAAUGAAAUCGAACUUUGUCUGAAUCACACCGGAGGCCCCCAGGAUCUAGUCCAAACAAACGAAUAGGUCCUAAAACAGGAUGAACUUAGUCGAAGCCUCAAAUCACAUCAAACAACAUCAAAAUUACGAAUCGCACCCCAAUUCAAGCCUAAUGAACUAAUGAACUUCCAACUACUAAAACUAAUGCCGAAUCCCAAACCAACUCCGGUUGACCUUAAAUUUUGCAGACAAGUCAUAAAUGACACACCAUACCUACUCCAACUCCCAAAACUGAAAUCUGAAGUCGAUAUCAACAAAGUCAACUCUCGGUCAAACCUCUCAACCUUUCAAACCUUCAACUUUCUAAUUUUUGCCAACUCAAUCCAAAACGACAUACAAACCUCCAAAUCAACAUCUGGACAUACUCAUAAGUUUAAAAUCACCAUAGGAAGCUAUCGGAACCAUCAAAACUUUAUUUCAGAGUCGUAUACACAAAGUCAAACACCUAUCAACUCUAAGAACUUAAGCCUCCAACCUUGGGACUAAGUGUCCCAAUUCACUCCGAAUUAUCCCCGGAAUCAAAAUAACUACCCCGAUAAGUUACAUAACCACAAAUAAACAUAAAAGAAGCGGUAAAUGGGGAAACGGGGCUACAAUACUCAAAAUGACCAGUCGUGCCAUCACACUUAUAAAACCAGACAGUGUCCAUGGCAUAAAUGAACACAAUAGUGAGAACCAAAGGCAGUUAAGGAAUGAUAGUGUGACCUAUGGUUGUCUAGGUAUACACUAAAGUUUGACAGUUUAAAGAUAUCAAACCUACCGAUUGACCAAGUAUAUCCGACAUAAGUUCACUACGGAAAGCUCAAAGGAAAACCAACUUAUCCAGAUGUGAUUAAUCAUUGCUUGUGAAUCACACGAUUUUUCAUGUAUAUUUCCGUUUUAUAGCCAUUCGCCAUUCAUGUGGGAGAUUGUUGGAUUUUUAGUUAAAAAUUGAGAUGAAUGGGAAAUGGAGAAAAAAAUAAAAUUUUAAUUUUUCCUCCUUUACAAAGGAAUAUUGUCCCUUAUUGGAGGAGAAAAGCUCAUUUGUUAGGUAUAUAUAUCGCACUUCUUUUAGCUCUUAAAGAGUCAAGAAGAAGACAAGCCUCGUGUCGUCGUCGUCGCUAGGCUUCGGCUUCGAAUCAAUUCGGAUUUUGUCAAAUGAUCGGAUUUAUCGAUUAAUUUUUUGAACCAAAUUUAUUUGUUUAAUAGUAAAACUAAAUUAAAAAAUUUUAAUCCAUUGUUGUGCAAAUUACCGUGUGUGAAAGUUGUUGGAUACUGGGUUUGGGUUGCGGGUCGCCCAUAUGGACUGACUCUACCCAUUUAGAGGAGAUAAAACCUUACGCAAGUUAAAACAUAGAUAAAUAAAAGAAAAAACUGUUGCACGUUAAAAAAUAAUGGAAACGUGCGAUCAGUUUGUGUGAGCGACAGUUUUUUCUUGAAACCUCUCUCUCCUUUAUAUAUUUUUCUUCCUCAAUAAAGAAAGGGACUAAGAAAUGAUUUUUACUAAAGUAAGAAACAUGUCGUGAUAAACAAAAAUAAGAUACUUAGUUCGUGAACAAGAAUUUUAUUUCCAAGAGGGACAAAGUCAGAUUCGAGUAAUUAAUUGGAACAAAUUUUGCAAAAACUUAUGUUGUUGUUAACAGGUACACAAAGUCGAUGUCUUUGUUACUCGAUUUUAAUCAUUAUUGGCAUUAGAGCCUUUGUUGUGUGUUCUAUUGUUUUGAAUACACAGUUGAAAAAUAUCGCCAUAAAGGGUGUGUUUGGUAUGAAGGAAAAUAUUUUCCGAAAAAUAUUUUUUAAUUUUUUAUGUUUGGUUGUUUAAAUGUUUUGAAAAAUAUUUUCGUUAUGAACUCAUUUUUCUCCAAUUGGAGGAAAAUGUUUUCCUUAUCAAGAGAAGGAAAAAUAUUUUUCAAAACUCCUUCUCAACCUUCCCCACCCUCGCCAACCCACCCCACCCCCACCCCCUCUCUCCAAAAAGGCUUUUUUUUUCAAAUUUCAAAAAAAUAAAUUCGUCACCACCCACCCUACUACCCCCUCACCUCGCAAUUUUUUUUUNNNNNNNNNNNNNNNNNNNNNNNNNUUUUUUUAUAUUUUUCAGUUUUAGUUUUUUCAUCUUUUGGUUUACAGGUUCGAAAUUUUACAAGUUUCAAAGUUAUGAGUUCGGAGGUUUAUGUGUUUGGAAGUUUACGUGUUUAGAAAUUAUAAAGUUUACGGGUUCGAAAUUUCGCGGUUUCGAAAGUUUAGCGGUUCGGAAGUUUAUGAAAUUUGUGGGUUCGGAAGGUUGUUGGUUCGAAAGUUUAUGGUUUCAUGUUUAUUGUAUCUAAAUUAUUUAUGAAUACUCUUGAGAAGUUAUUUUCCUUAAUUUGCGUACCAAACACCGAAAAAUGAAUAAAAUUAUUACUUAUUUUCCAAGAAAAUAUUUUCUACGGAAAACAUUUUCCGUUAUACCAAACACACCCAAAGUUCUUUAUCAAUUCGUUUAUUGGAAACUGUUUUUGAUGUUUUGGCGUGAAACUCAAUUUCAAAUUAAGAAGGUCAAGAGUAUCGCCGAGUGAAAAAUGAUACUCCUGUUGUGGUGGAUUAAAACCAGAACUCAAAUUGUUUUAAUGUAUCGGCUGUAGAAUUUAUUUUUUGUAUGUUUUUGAAGCCGUCAAUAGCGGCCCUCCAUCGUUAUAUGGUGACAAGUUUUCUAAGUAUAGGUUCAGACAUCUUCUAUAUGCAAAGGAGAACAAAUGAGAAGUAGUCACUAUAAUUAGAGAUGGAACCCACAAAUCUUGAUUGAGACACAUGUGUGCACUUAUAUAGUAGUCACUUUCUCUGUUUGGCAUUUUCUUUAAAUUCUUAAAGCCAUUGCCAGUAAGUCUUCACAAAUAUUGAAAGAAAUCUCAUAACAAUAUUUGUUUCUAAAGAAGUGGCUUCACAUGUUAUGAUUUGGGUCAUGAAUGUUUUUAUGUAAUGUUAAAGAGAUGUUUCUCUAUGAUUAGAUGCCUAGGUCGCAUUUUCUUUUUUAUUUGUUAGGGCUUCUUUGUAAUAAUAAUCUUCUCUGUUUUGUAUUAUAAUCUUCUCUGUUUUGUAAACUAAGUAUUAAUGAAUACUUGCCUUCCUUUUUUUGGGUUGACAUAUGUUCAACACAAUGAGGCAUGAGAAACUACAAUUUGUUUUGGGCAGAUUGACUUAUCUUUUGAAUGGGUGCAUGAUAUUCAUAUUUAACAUGUCAACAAUAUGUACUGAUUGUGCCUUGACGUAAUGGAAUUAAGCCAAGUUAUAGUCAAUCUGUAUUGAUAGAAAAAGUGAUCACAUAUUAUUUUAUGUGCUUAAACAGAGUACUUAAAUAUUAAGAAUACUAGUCUUAGUUACAUAUACCCCUAUUCUUCUACAAGUUAUUGUGACAUAUAUUGUCGCAUUGAAUGGUUGUACCCAUUUUUAUUAUUUUCUUGGUCCUAUUUCAGAUAUGGCUGAAUAGGGACAAGUUCGAAUUACUCGAAUUACAUAGAUAUUACUGAUUGGAAAGCAUUAGCUAUUUUAGCGGACUCUUUUCGAGGGUCUUGGGUGAAGUUUUAACUGAGAUUUAUCAUAAUAUUUGGCCUAGUUCACCUUUUAGUAUAUUUGUGCAAGAGUUAGUGUUCGAUUGGUACAUGUAUGUCUUAGCAAACAUGUAAAUUAUUAUUAUAUAUUUUAUUUUCAUGAAAUUUAAAUUAUGUUGUUUGUCUCACUAGUUACAAAUAUUAUUUAUUAUUUUAUUUUAUAAUGGAUUGAUACUUGAAAUAAAGUACACACUAAGAAGUGAUUUUAAUAUUAAUUAAAAUAUUUAGAUAUAGAUGAUGAAUGGAAAUAUAUUGAUCUUUCGACAUGCAUAAAUUGACUAAAGUAUAUAUUGAUGAGUUAAACUUGUAAUAUUGUCUCUAAUAACAGACAUGGCAUCGAAAAGUAUUAUUGCGGACUUGAACAAGGGUGACAAACUGAAGGGUGAAAAUUACGACAUCUGGAGUCGUAAGAUGUGGUAUGUACUCAAAGAACAAGAUGCUCUUGAAAGUAUUAACCAUAUUAUGAGUCACUCAUAGGAGGGUAACACUGCCCAACACAUGAGGGAUAUGGAAACUUACAAUAUUUGAAAAAAUAAAGAAUCCACUGUACGUGAAAUUAUUGUAAGUUCAGUUGAUGAUGAUCUCAUCCACGAAUGUAAGCAAUAUCCUACUGCUCAAGCCAUGUGGGCACAUUUAAGAGAGGCAUAUGGCGGUGCCACUGUGACUCGCCUUAGACAGCUAACAAUCAAGUUUGACACAUACAAAAAAUGGCAUGAUCACAGUGUCAAGUAACAUCUAAGGGUGAUGUCAGAUAUGAUUGCUCAACUUCAAAAUGUUGGUCAUAUUCUCUUUGAUGAGCAACAGGUUCAGGCAGUGAUUCGGUCUCUUCCCAAUAAUUGGGAACAUUUAAAGGUCAACUUGAUCCACAAUGAUAGCAUCAAAAAUUUUACUAAUGUUGUCCAUCAUGUGGAGCUUGAAGAUGAGCGGCUUGGUGCAGCUAAAGCUGUGCCUAAUGCCUUUGUGGCAGAACCAAGUGGUACAAAGAGAUCAAGCUUCAAGCGCAAGAGAAACUCAAAAAAAUAAUGGAAAGGAUAAAGAGACCGGAGAAGGAUCCUCCAAGAAAAGAAACAAGCCAUAUUCUAAGAAAGAAAACGGUACAAGAAGAAAGACAAACGUAGGAUGAAGUGCUACAAUUGCCAAGUUCUAAGGCAUUUUGCUCGUGAGUGCAUUGAGCCGAAAAAUGUAGCAUUUCAAAACGUAUCUCUUAGUUCUAUAUAUGUUUCUAGCACUGUUUUACUAACUGAAUUUCAUCCUGUGUGGAUUGUAGACUCAGGGGCCAUCGACCAUGUGAGCCGUGAUAGAGAAGUAUUUAUAGAGUUUCGCCGAGUUCCACCUAGAUCAAAGCAUGUAUAUGUGGGAAAUAAUGCAAAGCUUGAAGUCCAAGGGAUAGUCACUUGCAGAAUGGACAUGCGUUGUGGCCGAUAUUUGAUGUUGCAUGACGUCCUAUAUGUUCUAGAGAUUCGACGAAACUUAGUCUAUGUGUCUGUUCUUCUAGAUUUAGAUUUCAAUUUGAACUUUAGUUGCAUUGGUCUUAGAAUUACUCUAGACAGUAUUUUUUUAUGGUUUUGGACAUCGUUAUGAUGGUUUUAUCGUGUUAGAUUGUAAUCCUUCUACGUAUAACUAUUAUCUUGACUGUUGUGUUAUGGCAUGUUAUUCUAGUGAUAAUGGUGUUGAUGUUAUUACAUGGCAUGCAAGAUUAGGUCACCUAGGGCAAGAUCAAAUGAAUAGAUUGGUUAAGAAAGGACAUUUAGGGUCUUUCUCUAAAAUUGAAUGCCAACUUGCAAAAACUAUCUUGCCAGAAAGAUUACAUAUAAACCAUUUGGAAAGGCUAAGAAAGCUUAUUUUCCAUUGUAAUUAAUCCAUUAUGAUAUAUGUGGUCCAAUGAAUGUGAGGGCUAUGUCGGGUGCUUUAUAUUUCAUAACGUUUAUUAACGUUUUCACGCUCUUUAGUUAUAUCUAUUUGAUUUCUCAUAAAUCUGAAGCACUAGAAUGCUUUAAGAAAUAUUUGAAUGAAGGUAAGAAUCAAUUAGACAAAAGGAUUAAGACCUUACGAACCGAUAGAGGGCAUGAAUAUCUAUCAAAAUAAUUUGAAGAAUUGGAUAAUGAAAAGGGCAUCACAAGACAAUUAACUAUUCCUUACACACCUCAACAAAAUGGUGUAGUAGAAAGGAGGAAUAUAAUACUAUUAGACAAGAUAAGGUCCAUAAUGGCACAGGCAAAUUUACAUAUCUUCUUUUGGGGAGAUGCGUUAUUAACUACAGUCUAUAUAUUGAACAAAGUGACUUCUAAAUCAGUUUUUUUGGCUCCGUAUGAGCUAUGGAGUGGUAAUAAAUCAAACUUAAAUGAUUUGCGACUUUGGGGUUGUGCUGCAUAUGUAAAAAAAAAAUUAGCAAAUUUGGUAAAUUAGGUCCAAAAGGCAAGAAAUGUAUCUUUAUAAUAUAUUCAAAACACUCCAAAGGGUAUAUGUUCAUUGGUGAAUUAGAGGAUGAAAGUGUUACUGAGAUUGAAUCACGAGAUGUCAAGUUUUUGGAAAAUAAUUUUCCAAAGAAGGGCGAGUUAAAGAAUGGAGAGCCUUUUUAUGAAAUGUUGAACUCAGUUAGUCAGCAAAUGUCUUCUGACACAGCUGAUAAUCAAAUCGAUCAAGAUCUUAUUCUUGAUCCGAGUGGGAGUGGGAGUUCGCAUCCCAAAAUUCUUCUAACGAAUUUGAAUUUCCACUACGAAAGAGUACCAAGAAAAAUAUACUCAAACGUACUUAUGAGAUUGAUGAUUACGUUUUCUUGGUAUCUCCCAUAGAAAUGGAUGGGCUAAAGUUUGUGACUAAGGCUUUAUCGAGCCCUAAAAAAGAUGAGUGGAUAAAAUCAAUGAAAGAAGAAUUAGAGUCCAUACUAACCAACAAAGUCUGGAUCUAGUUAACCUUCCGUCAGGGCGUGGAGCCAUUGGGAACAAAUGUGUUCUCAAAGUUAAACUCAAAGUGGAUGGGUCAAUAGAAAGAUAUACGGCAUGAUUAAUGGCAAAAGGCUUUACUCAAGAAGCUGGAAUAGAUUAUGAAGAAAUAUUUUUACCAGUUAUGAAAUUUACCUCAAUUCGUUUACUUUUGGCUAUUGUUGCAUGUUUGGAUUUGGAAUUACACCAAAUGGACGUGAAGAUAGCUUUUUUCAAUGGAGAACUAAACGAGGAAAUCUACAUGGAACAGCCUGUAGGCUUCAUCGUUAAAAUCCAAGAAAAGGCCUUUAAAUUGAAAAGAUCUAUUUAUGACCUGAAGCAAUCGGCAAGGCAAUAGUAUUUGAGAUUUCACAAGGAGGUGAUCUCGUAUGAUUUCACCAUGAUCAAUGAAUACCAUUGCAUUUAUGUGAAGAAGUCCAAUGGGAUAUUUAUAAUUCUUUCUCUUUACGUGGACGAUAUUUUAUUGGCCGAAAAUAAUUUAGAGUAUUUGAAAAGUAUCAAGUCAUGGCUUUCAAAGUCAUUUGACAUGAAAGAUAUGGGUAAGGCAGACUAUAUCCUUAGAGUUAAGAUCCAAAGAGACCGUUCCAAAAAGGUAUUGAGUCUAUCUCAAGAAACUUAUAUAAAGAAAAAUUUGGAGCGUUUUUGCAUGAAUAGUUGCAAAUCCAUGAAUACUCUUAUAGCGAGAAGUGAAACUUUAAGCCUUGAAAAUGUGUCCCAAGACUGAAAAUGAAAAGGAAGACAUAUCUCGAUUUCCGUAUUCAAGUGUUGUCGGGAGCUUGAUGUACGCUAUGAUAUGUACUAGCCCAGACAUUUAUUAUGCCGUAGGUCUGGUUAGCAGGUAUCAAUCCAAUCUUGUAAGAGAUCAUUGAAAAGCUGUGAAGAGAAUUUCCAGAUACAUGAAGGGACUACAGAUUAUUCACUAUGUUAUAGUGAAAAUGAUUUAUACUUGAGAGGAUAUAAAUAUGUUGAUUGGGUUGGUGACCGAAAUGAUAGAAAACCAACAUCCGAAUAUGCUUUCUUACUUAAUGGUAGUGCUAUUUUACAGAAAAGUAAAAAACGAACGUGUACUAAUCUUCCGACGAUAGAAGUUGAGUCCGUGGCUUGUGCAUCUGACGUACAAGAAGUUGUUUGGUUGAAGAGAUUCUUCGAACAUUUGGAUAUUACAAAGAAUUCUCAGGGUCCCAUGACUCUUUAUUGUGAUAGGCAUACACAAAAGAUCCUAAGUAUCACAACAAGACCAAAUACAUUGACAUCAAGUAUAACUUUGUGAGAGACAUGGUAGCAAGUGGAUAGAUAAAUUUACAAUACAUUCCUACGCGAAGCAUGAUAGCUAGUCCUUUUAUAAAGGCGAUAUCUAGAGACUUGUUUGAGAAACAUGCUAUGGCUCUUGGUUUGCAAAGGAUAUGAACAUAUUUAUGUAUUGUAAAAUGACUUUAUUAUUAUAAUAUGCUCAUCAAUAUUUGACUCGUAAAAUUAUGCUUAUAUCUCGUAUACAUGUGAUGAUGUUUUGUUGAUAAAGUAUGUCGAACAAGUCGCGAGAUUGGCUCUUUCACACGAGCAAUUGCCUCUUACGUUAAGAAUCGUGAAGACAUAAGACCUUAUAGAACCUUGGAUAAUACGAGGUUAUAUUCACUUGCAAAAGGUCGGUCUUGAUAACUAGUCAGACUCAUAAAUUCCACCAUUCGAUUAUGACUUAUUUUUGUAAGCCAGAUGCGAGUUUCUCUAAGAAGAUGGAUUGAGGAUUAUUGAAGUGAGAAAUUCAAGUUAGACAUUUGUGGGUGUCUAGACUAAGAUCCGUACGGUAAUGAAUUAUUUAAAAAUAAUAAGACGCAUGCGCCAAUAUAAGGCAAGAAUAUUGUAGCACGUAUUGCAUACCACGUGUGCUUAGCAACCAAUGGGUUAAUGAAAGAAUGGAUCCCUGCUUCUUCAUUGUGCGAGACCCAGAAAAUCAUAAUUAACUUUCUUUGGAAUACCCUUUGACAUUUUAUUGUAUCUUGAAGUACCAAUCAAUGUUGUUACUUUAGCAUGUCACUAAUAGCUACGUGUAAUUUAGCAAUGCAGUGCAUGUCUAGGAAAGCAGUUGAUCUGGGAUGGAUAGUUUCGAGUAAAAAAGGGAGACAACUAAAAUAAAUAAAUAAUAUAACUUAUAUUCAUUGGUUGGCCAUUACACUUACCAUAGGGUAACAAGUGUAAUUGUGGAUAAAGCUAUACAUGAACUCGAGUUCACCUCUUUCGAGGAUGAGGGGUCGAAUAACUAACUACUUAGAGUAGCCAACGAUGUCUGGGGUAUAACGAGUAAUAAAAUCUUCGUGUUAGUAGUGAAUCCUUUUCUAAUUUGAUUGGAUUUCUAGACUAAGCUAUAUAUAUUAAAUAACCUUAAACAGUCAGAAAUAUUAUAGCUCCAGUUGCUCGCAAGUCACACGAAUUAUUUACUAGUAUAAAUUACGUGUGUUAUUCACAUGGCACUAGUUUGAAUCUAGCCCAUCAUGUGCGAAGUGGGAGAUGUUGGAUAUUGGGUUUGGGUCGCGGGUCACCCAUAUGGACUGACCCUACUCAUUUAGAAGAGAUAAAACCUUAAAGAGGUUACCUAGGAAAGUUAAAAUAUAGAUAAAUAAAAUAAAAAAUUAUUGCACGUUAAAAAAUAAUGGGAAUGUGCGAUCCGUUUAAACUUCUCUCUCCUUUAUAUAUUUAUCUUCCUCAACAGAGAAUGGGAUUAAGAAGUGAUUUUUCCCAAAGUAAGAAACACACUAUGAUAAACAAAAACAAGGUAUUUAGUUCGUGAACAAGAAUUUCGUUUCCAAGAGAGACGAAAUCAGAUUCGAGCAAUUGAUUGGAACAGAUUCUACAAAAACUUCCGAUAUUGUUAAUAGGUACACAAAUUCAAUGCCCAUGUUACUCGAUUUUAAUCAUCAAUUUUGAUAUGGUACAUAGGUUGAGCUUUACAAUCACACUUAAUGGCUUGAGAGCAUUAUACUCCUUUGAAACACUUUGAAUUCGAACUUAUUCCAUUAGGAAUAUAACUUACGCGUAUUCCAUUAGGCAAGUGGGCCGGUCGAGACCGGACCGUUUGGGAUCGGGACCGGACCGGUCCUAGCGGGCCUAAACGAUCCCAAACGGUCCCAACGGCCAAAAUUUUAAAAAAAAUCUAUCUGUUUGGGCAUUUAAAAUCUAGUCGUUUCCUCUGCCAAAAUAGUUGUGGGCUAUUUACAAAAUAGUCAUUUAACCCCCACAACUUUGUUUUAACCUCACACUUUUUAUAAUUACCCCAAAAAAAUAUAAGUAUAUAGUAUAUAUCUUAAGAUGUAUAUAUAGUAUAGUAUAGUAUAUAUAUAUAUAUAUAACGNNNNNNNNNNNNNNNNNNNNNNNNNNNNNNNNNNNNNNNNNNNNNNNNNNNNNNNNNNNNNNNNNNNNNNNNNNNNNNNNNNNNNNNNNNNNNNNNNNNNNNNNNNNNNNNNNNNNNNNNNNNNNNNNNNNNNNNNNNNNNNNNNNNNNNNNNNNNNNNNNNNNNNNNNNNNNNNNNNNNNNNNNNNNNNNNNNNNNNNNNNNNNNNNNNNNNNNNNNNNNNNNNNNNNNNNNNNNNNNNNNNNNNNNNNNNNNNNNNNNNNNNNNNNNNNNNNNNNNNNNNNNNNNNNNNNNNNNNNNNNNNNNNNNNNNNNNNNNNNNNNNNNNNNNNNNNNNNNNNNNNNNNNNNNNNNNNNNNNNNNNNNNNNNNNNNNNNNNNNNNNNNNNNNNNNNNNNNNNNNNNNNNNNNNNNNNNNNNNNNNNNNNNNNNNNNNNNNNNNNNNNNNNNNNNNNNNNNNNNNNNNNNNNNNNNNNNNNNNNNNNNNNNNNNNNNNNNNNNNNNNNNNNNNNNNNNNNNNNNNNNNNNNNNNNNNNNNNNNNNNNNNNNNNNNNNNNNNNNNNNNNNNNNNNNNNNNNNNNNNNNNNNNNNNNNNNNNNGGAUCGGGCCCAACCCACAUGCCACCCUUAGUUCAAACGGAGGCUGGUUCUACCGGCUAAAGAGCAAACGGGCUGUUAAAUCUGCAGACUCUAACGGCAAUGGGUGCAUUGAUGAGGAUGAAAUCAACAACCUUGUGCAGUUUGCGCAGAAGCACUUGGGUAUUAGGAUUAUGUUUUGAAGUGGUCUUUGUGUGUUAAAAAGUCUACUUGUGUAUAUAUAUUUCUAUUAGGAUCGAAAUAAUCAGGUAUCAUGCGGAAGCUAGUAAAGCUAACUUUGAACAACGAUAAAUCAGAUAACAAAAAAAAAAUAUACCAAAAGAGAUACAAACAUUUAACGUGGUUCGGUCAAUUAACCUACGUCCACGGGGGAAGAUGAGCAAUCUACUAUAUAAAAGAGAGUACAAAAUAUCGAGAGAACAACCACAGGAAGAGGCAAACACAAGUGGCAGGCUAACACUUGUCCCGAAAUUCUUCCCCUAAACAACUCUCAAACCCUAUAUGGCUACAUUGUGGAUGCUACUGAAUGAGAAGGAAUGAUCUUCAAUUUAUAGAAGUCCAAACAUUUUCCUUCAAGAAAAAAGACUAGCUAAGGAAAAAAAAAAACCUAAAUAUGGUAAAUAUGUAGUCAUUUCCUUCGUGAGAUAGGAAAACCAAAUAUAGUAAAAAAAUUAUGACAACCACCUAACAAUUCCAAACUUAAGUUUAUUUUCUAUUUCACUUUCUCUUACUCCCUCACAUUUCUAUGGAUAACUCCUGUAUAUUGUACUUCACAUUUAACACGUAGCAUGAAGCUGAGAAAUGCUAAAAGCUUUUGAAAAAGCAUUCAAAUAGCCAUUGCAAAGUUUACGAAUUCUACUUAGUAAGGGACCUAAACACAUGAUUUUUUUUCUCUCAAAGUCAGACCAAGCCUUAUGACGAAAAGGAGAGAUAGGACGGAUCACCUGUCGAUCUGUGAUUAAAAAAAAACCUACACAUGAAUUAUAGGAUACAGAUUGACAAACACAAUGGGCUCUUCAUGCGUAAAAGGGGAAAAUCUUAUUCUAACAAUCUAAUAUCUAGAGCAUUUGAUAAAACGAACCUUCCUUUCGCUCUUAAGGUGGACAUUUCUUGACAAAACCAGUUACACAGAGACCAGAUCCCCUACAUAAAGUUCAGAGAGAAUUUUCUUCAAAUGCAGGUCUCCAUUAUUCCAGUAUAUGUGUCAUUCACAACGAUGAAUGCAUCAGUAGCAUCACACUCUCCAGUCAUUUACCCAUCAACGGCGAAAAAACCUCCUCUUAGUAAUAACACUUUGUCCAUAACAAAUCUGUUCAUUAACAAAAGAUUCUAUAAAUGACCAAAAUCUAUACCUCUCAUCCACACAUAAACUACAACAUUAUACAGAGUUCAAAUUAUUCAAUCAAUGUGGAAUAUAUAUAGUAAUUUCCUUCCACACUUGUUCAUAUACAAGAAAGCACAACAAAUGAGCAAUCCUACUAUCGAAUAUUGAUGCGUAAAAUAUCAGAAAUUGAGUAAAAUACUUCCUUUUGAAGGAUGGGUGUAUAAUACAACAGCAUACUAGUAAACUUCCAUGUGCAAUAUACAGCUAUAAUGAGGCUGUCUUUGGUCAACCUUAGUUGUAAGGUGCACACAUAAAUUAGCAGUUUCUCACGAAUCCAUCACUACCCCCCCCCCCCCCCUCCUUUUCUCAGAAACAAGGGCAAGUUGCUUCCAAGUUAAUAUUUGAACAAAAAUUUAUAUGAAUCUCUUCAUAGCCAUGGGAGUGCCAUCCCUGAAUCUCAAAAAAUAAUUGGAUGGACUGGCCUAAUCUCGGAUAGGAGACGGAAGCUUCCAAUAAUUCCAUGAAUUAAAAUCCUCCUAGAAAAGUGAAAUUGUUUGGCGACUGUAAGAUGAUUGAGGUUUCAAGAAAACACUAGAUAUGUAUUAUAAAAUUAAAUUUCGAACCAGCAAAAUCUAGUAUUUCCAGGACUCCAUAGAACGAUGUAAAAUUGUUUUGAGAAGGCAAAGCUGAGACAUGCAAGCUCUAUGUACCCUGAAAUGAUCAAGGGAGCCUAAAUAGUCAUGGGGAUAAUACUGCAACGGUGAGACUUUUCCGCUCAUACUUUACGCUUUGGGUCGUCUACGCCGUACAUCGCAAACAUGGCAUGAACUUUAAAACUGGGAUAAAACUAGCCCCUUCGAAACCUACUAAUUUUUUAGCAGUUAAUUCUAAUUAUCCACAUUUGAAUAUAUAAUUUCUAGGUGCCAUGUAGAUGGAGUUAAAGUCUCCAAAAAAAACAAACAUGCUGACUAAAUAAAAAAAAUAGCCAAUCGUCAAAACGAAUAUAAUGGUGAAAGUGGUUCUGAUGCUCCACUUCAAGAUAGCUAACUUUCAACGUCCCACAUCACUUUGGAGAAGGAUAACAGUGAAGCUCAAGAAAUCACAGGCUUCUCUUUGCUCUAUCAUGUGCUAAAUAGCCCAUUAUCGUUUAUUCAGAACAAGAAAAGCAAAGAAAUCCAACCUGCUCACGUGAGGACAAGGGUGGAAACAUGCCAUCGACGCAACCAUGUAUGUAGGUGUAUGACUUUGUAUCUAUGUGGUGGUUCAUAACAAUUUGGCCCUGUACAUUAUAGAACUACCAUCAAAAACUCGAAGAAAGUUACUUGCCAAAUGUCCUUAGUUGAUUCUACAUACCUUGGGAUCGAUGGUGAAGAUUUUUCCUUCAGGUAUUCCAACCUUGAGGUAGCUGAGCUUGUCGGUGUCUCUGUUUCCAAAACCAGCAUAGAAGGGAUUCCUAUCAGAAGGGAACAAUGCCUUGACAUCCUGAAAAUUUCAAUAGUUAAAAGUUAAUUAUCUGCAUAUGUUGCCAAAGCUGAUGACAAGAUAAAGUGCUGAAAGUUAGCCACUAAAACUUCUACAAUUGCCCGUAAUUUAGAUACUCCCUGCCUAUAGUAUUCCAAGAGAAAACCCAUGAUAAAUAGGGGGAAAAACACCAAAAUAAAAACCAUUGUUGCAUUUAUCAUAAAAGACGUAAUCCACUCUGAGUUACAGUUUCGAGCUUUCUCUUAUUAGUCAUUAUAUCCAUCUUGCGAUUAUUCAUUCCAUUAGUUACAUCUUGAUGUUCCUGCACGGCCAUAUUUUGAGUGUGGCACAACAAACACACAACUUCUCAUCCACCUUAAGCAGGAGUAAGAUCUGUUAAAUGGUAUUUUUCUAUGUCCAAAUCGCGUUGUAUCAAACGUCCACUUGUAAAUUUUGGAGCAUUUGGGACUUCUGCGUGUGUUAAACAGGGAGUUUUUGUGCAGUUAAACUAAAAAGCACCAAAUACCCAUUUAUUCUCUCACUCAACUUGUUUACAUCACAAGGCAUAUCUCCCUUAAGAUAGCAGAGAAGUUAAGAUUAGACAACACGGAUGUAAGUCAUCUUUAUUCCAUUAAACGAUAAAAGCACUCUACCAGAUGCAGCUCGCCUCACAACUUUUGCAGACAUGCAUAACUUUUUUGUUUAAAAUGCUAAAGUUACUAUUAGGGGGGAAAAUAUGAAUCAAGAAACUGACCUGUAAGCAAGUAAUUUUGAAUUCAUGAGGAGAUCUUGUAACCACUGCAAAAGGUAAACAGGUAGAUACACCUCUCAAUCAAUAUUAUGAGCAGAAUUUGAAGCGGUUCUUCUGGGAGAAUUUAAUAUCAUAUUACUAAAUGGUGCAAGAAAUGCAGAAGGAAAUAGCACAUUUCACCAUUUAAGCUCAUAGAUAAAAGCAUGAAACAGCCAGUCCACUGAACCAAUUAGAGAAUAGGGUGCCGACGGCAGGAUAUUAAAAAUUGCUAACAAUUAAAGAGUAAAAAGGAGGACAUAAGAACAUGACACUGCAAGAAUUGUCAGCAAAUAUUGACAAUGGAUACUAAAAAACUUCCAGGCGUCAUUACCAUUUUUUUAUGGAGUAGAUAAUUUCAACCAUCAAAAUAGUUGUUCUCUCUUCAGGAUUAAGUUCAAUGUUAAAUACAUUUAAACCAAAGAGCAAGUUAAUAAAAAGGGGACCAGCAAUUGAGCAAUCCAGACACAAAUUAAAAAGGGUAGCAAUAAAAGGAUAGAAAGCACAACGUGCUAUAUAUAAAUUAUCUAAUAAAAACAAAAUUUCCAGGCACCGUCCAUAUCAGGUUUUAGUCUACCCAUAUGUUGAUAGAUAAUUUUGUUUUAUUCUACUAAUCAUGAUUCAUAAAAAUACAGACAAACAGGACAAACAGAAUAUAACCAACUCAAUGGGAUGCAUAGUUUGGAGCAACGAAAAAUAUAAAGAGAAGGCACUUCACGAAAUAAAGAAAGGAAUAGCCCGUAACCUUCUCGAAAUAAAGAACGAAAAAGUCCAUCAGGCGAUGUAAGAACAGGUCCUUCUGGUAAUCCCUUUCCAUCCUGCAAUUAUCAAAAACACAAAAAAGCCAAAUUAAUUGAUGAGGAGCAAAAAGAGAAGUGUGGUUACUUGAGACAAACUUACUUUUCAUACCUGCAUAAGAUUAAACAAGAAUUGUCUAGUGAGAUAGGCCUGUGAAAUAGCACGUGCACUUUGGAAAAGCAAUUGAUAGCCGUUCUCCUGCAACAAGAGGACAACAUCAUGCAUUCUUAUUCUACUAUCAGACGAAAACUAAAACAUAUAUUUACAUAGAAGAACUGUAGAGACAUUUCAAUCCUUAGCAAGCAUAGCAAAAGGGAAAACAAAUUCACAACAUAAGAGAACAUCCUUGAACUAAAGACUUGAAUUCUGACCAAUUACUUGCCAUAACUAUGAAAUUGGCAUCAUUCCACAUCACAGCUCGUCUGAAUAAACCUCAAAAAAGAUUAGAGAAAAUGAACUAAGCCUAAAACCUUGAUAGCCGAAAAGAGAUGUGCAACGCCUGACUGUGACCAAUCCACCCCAACCAAAGGCAUGAACUGUCCUAGAACAUCAGAUCUGUUUAAUUGAGAAAAAUAUCACACAUCAGGCAGGCACAAGGAAAUAAUAUCAUCCAUAUUUCUAUCACCAACUCAAACAGAAGUCUAGCAUUUUUGUUCACAAAGUUGUUCACUAAGGAACCAAGAAGACGAACCAACAGAUGUUCAACGAGGAUAACAGGAAACUAGCGUAGAAAAUUUUAGAGCCCAGAGCUUCAUUCUAACAAGGUUGACUAUGUAAACCAAUUUCUCACUUGUUUCGAAAUAUUGUCUCAGGUAGUAGAUAUUUGCUUUAAAUCCUGCCAACAAUCAAGUGAAGAAAAAGAACCAGAGACAAAGGUGGCAAUAUUAGCUAGAAAUGACAGUUGUCAUCGUUGCUAUUCCAUGUUUCGAUGGAACGACAUCACAUAUAGUCAUAGAGUUGGAUUCAAUCAACAAAUUCCGCAGCUCAAUCUAGCUGUUCCAAAAGUCAUGAGCCAAGUCAAAUUGGUCAACUGUUUGAUUGACUCAGCUAAAUUGCAUCCCAAUUGUAGGCCCAUAUAAGAAGGGCCAUAUCCUUCAUUUCCUUCUUUCUGAUAGCUAUACAAUUCAAGUUGGUUAUAUCUUAGAAACCCUCCCUCCCUCUCUUGACAACGGAAAUCUUCACUUCAACUAUCCAGUACUUCUUGAACACUAUACUGAUCACAAAAGUAGUCUAAAAAACAAAUCGCAAAUGUCAAAUAGAACUUGCUGCAUGUGCAUAAAAGAUUAAUUAAUCCUAAACUGAUACUCUAAUAAUUAAUCCUACACUGAUACUCUUCCAUCCCACUCACUUUUGACUGAAAGUCAAAGCAAUAAUAGACAUAUGAUAAGAUGUACCAUUUGAAAUAUUAUUUAGAGACUAUAUAAAACUACUACAAACAGGAUCUUUUUCCAAUCCAAAAUAUUAAAAAUGCUCAAGAAAUCAUGAUCAAAAUUUACUGAUCUUGAAAAUCAUCAAAUGGUAAAUAUUUUGACCAGAAGAGAUCAAGAGUAACAGAAAUAAUAUUAUGAUGUGAGGUCCACUAUUUAAAGCUUUCAAUUCCGGCAUAGAUCACAGAGGGAGAGAAGACGAACAAGACGGCAUCUUAAAUAAAGGUAAUAUGCUUUCUCCAUGUAUCACAAUAAGUACCACUUGUUCAUAGACUUGGAAUUGAUAAAUAUUCAACAAUGUCCAUUGUCAAAGCUUGUAAUACUAAUUUGCCUUAGAAGUACAAAUGAAGUCUUAGACAACAUUUAGUUCAUUGUCAGCUUGGGUUCAGAAAUAGUUUAUGACUGAAGUAACCUAGUGUGUAGUACGUGACAUGAAUGCUAUGUUGCCCGGACUCUCCAAAAAAAGCUGCCGCACCCGCGUCGGAUCCUCAAAAAAUGCACUAGUUUUGGAGGAUCCGGCACACACCGGAGACAUUUUUGGAGAGUCCAACUGUCCGAGCAACAUAGCAUGAAUGUGAACGAGUUUUUUCAGCAUAGAUUCUUGUAGUUUUGAAUUCAAUUCUGGUUAUAUUAUUAUACCAUGGCAACUCUCUGGAAAAUUUAAGGGACAGAGUCAACGGUAAAUUUGGAAGGAGUCUCCGUGUUGGGACUCCAAACUGCAUCUUGAAAGUUCCCUUUCGAAAGUACGAAGAUAAAACCUCAAAAAUACCAAAAAUGACAACAUUACCUCUAAAUUGGGACCCACUUUUCUCUACACUAAAUUAUAUAUCAGCUCUGUUCUCAAUCUCCAGGGCAAACUAAGAAAAUCUAAUCAGGAAGAGGGAUAUUGGACUUGUGUUUUCAACACUUUUAAGUGAAUCACACUAUGGUUCAUCAAUUAAGAACGCCUCCUUGCUUCUAGGAUAUGUGCAUGGAAGUGAAUCACAAAGUUAACUACACCAAAAAAGCAAUUUACAGCCAAACAUUGUACUUAAUAAAGUUGAUGUUGAUGUUACGAUAUGAGGUUCAUGUAACAGAAAAGAGUUACACAAGAAAAUAUCAAAUAAUUACCAUUAACACUCCAUUUGGACUAAUCAAAAGUUGAUGGAGUAAUUGUUGUGUCCAAGACUUGCUAUUUUCAACUUUAAUCAUAAAGAAUAUCACAAGUAGCAACUUUUUUGAACUAUUAUGUUCAACUUUGAUCACAAAGAAUGUAACAGUUAUCAACUUUUUUAAUCAAAAAAGCUGAUAAUUGUUACAUUCUCCGUGAUCAAAGUAGAACAAAAUAGCAAGUCUUGGACACAACAGCAAGCUCAUAGAGAAAUCAAUAGCACCAACCAUCUAUAGCAGAAAAGUGAAUCAAUUUUACCUAGUAAUUGUUCCAUCAACAUCAGAGACUACAAUAUUUGUGUCCCAUCGCCACAAAUAUAUACACGCAUCAACCUGCAAAGUAUGUAUCUCAAACAAAUUAUAAGCAAGCAUUUGCAUAAGCACACAAUAGUUAACCAAUAGUAAAAAAAAAGAAUCAAACACCGAAGCAAUGUGCAAUGAAAAGAAGUCUUAGCAAAUGACCUGCUGUUUCGAGCAUGUGAAUACAACUACAUUCUUUCCCUCCUUCAGAUUCAAAGUUGCUAGCUGUUCGGAUGUUCGAGUAGUUAAAGAAUCUCCAUCUACCAUGUCCAGCUCCCUUAGAAAGUAUGCUUGCCCUCUACUAUCUAAAUUCAUACAGAAACCCGCUUCCACGCCAUUGACACUUACAUUAACCACCUUUUCUUUUGCCUUCAAAACCUCCUGAAACUUUCCGAAUCGAACAUACCAAGGAGAGGAUUUCAAACUCCCAUCUGGUUGCUUCACCACUAUGAUAUCCACAGCACCACCAAAUGGAUUUAAAGUCCCAGAAACACUACGUACGCCUCGACCUAUAUAGCUACCUAUCCUCCCCACAGUAUUCAUUCUCUUACAACAACAACAAAUACGCCUCAGUACCAAUUCGGUUCCGCUACUCGUUUAAAUCAUCUCAUGCCAAUAUUAUGCAAAUACAGUGUUCAUUUUCUUAAUAGAAGAAAAUCUGUCAAGUUUCCACUUUGGCACAGUCUUAUUGCCACGUCACAAAUCAAACCCCCAAUUCAUCAAGAUUGAUUUUUUUUAAGCUCAUCUGCAACAAUCCAUUCAUUCCCUCACGUAAAUCUUUAGAUUCUCUCACAAAGAUUCAAUCUUUACUUGAUUCCCAAAUCAAUUCUCUCGCUCACGUAUUUGAAUUCUAACAACAAUGAUCAAAGAACAUUAAUUGAUAAAGAUUCAAAGACCGGUGAAAAAACGAGCUUUCUUGCUUAGAAAAAGGCAGAUAAAAGACGAAUAUCUGAAGGAAAACAUAUAUAUACUAUAACAAUGCACAAAUUUGCUGAAAACACAGAAAAGUAUACCUAAAUAAAUUGUAGCAGAAACUGAAUCCAGCUCAAGAAAUUAAUCAGUGGACAGGGUCACAAAUGAAAAAAAAACGAAAAAUAAAAAGAUAGUAUUCUUGCAGUAUUAAAACCGCCAAGACUUCAAACUUAAACGUUGAAUAAUAGUUGGCUGAAAGGUCGACCAAGAAAAAAAAAAAGGUUGGCUGAAAGAGCAUAUAUUCUUUUCUAAAAAGAUAUCCGAAUGUGCCACUGCUAUAAUUAAUUGGAAUCUUACCGAAAUGUCCUAACUCCUAACUUACCGCACUGUAGNNNNNNNNNNNNNNNNNNNNNNNNNCGUAUAACUUCGUAUAAUGUAUGCUAUACGAAGUUAUUACGAUUCAUUGAAAACAUAUAGAUGAAUCAAUAUACAAAAUUUGGGGAAGAUUGGAGGUGAUUUGAACUGAUUUGAUUUCAAAAUUCGUAGUUAAAAUCGAGUUCAAAAAAUUCUUCUGCGACACAUGUAUCACGCAUGUAUCUCACACGUAGUGGAUACAUGGAUAUACAUGUGAUACACACUUGAUACACAUUUGAUACAAAUAUGAUAUACAAAGUGAUACACAGUGUGAUACACCUAUCAUUUUUUCAUGUUCAUCUUCUACUUCGAAUUUUCAAUUCAAACCACCUCAAAACUCCACAAAAUCGUCCCAAAACUGAGAUUCAAGCUCCUUAAGAUUUACCAAAUCUAUUCUAAUAACACACACUCAAAAGAAAGCAAAUAUUUGACCUUUUUUGGCUACAAAUAACUAUUUGAUUAAUAUUAAUAAUAUUUUAUAAAUUGGCCAAUUUUUAUAAUAGGUUACUUAUAAAUGGACAUAGCUGAUAUUUUUUCUCACUAAUUUGACACGGUCCAAUAAGACGACACCGCCAAUGUCUCUAAUGGAGUAGUAAUUUUUAUACACUUAUACUUCUUUUGUCUCCAUUUAAUAAUGAGAAAAAAUAAAAGACUUUUAAAUUUAUGAUUUAAAAUAAAUCAUACAUAUUUAUGUAUUUAUAAAUUAUCUCGUUAAAGGUAAAAUAAAUAAAUUAUUUAAUAUAAAAUACAAUAUUCUUUUUUAUCAACUAAAAGGAGAGCGUAUUAUAUAAGUUGAGAUGGAAGGGAAAAAAUAGCACAAAAACAUCCACUAUUUGUAAAGUUAUUGAAAAAUAGCCAUUGUUUUGCUUAAACACGGAAAGUUCCAGCAUAAUAUGAGGAACUAUGGAGCUCCUGCGUAUAAACUUCCAGCAUAUGAUGUUGGAACUCCAUCACACGUAAAGUUCCAGCAUAAUAUGCUGGAUUAUGGAGCUCCUGUAUAUAAACCUCUCGCAUAUUAUGUUGGAACUCCAACACAUUAUGCUGGAACCUCAUAUGUAGAAAUUUCGAACUCCAGCAUAUUAUGCUGGAAUAUUUCAGGAUCAGGGGCGGCCCGUCCAUAAAGCAGGUAAAACAACUGAUUUAGGCCCCACAUUUGUGGAGGCCCAAUUUUUUUUACCACCUAAUAGGCUAUAUAUAAAUUUUUAAAAAAGUUAUGUGAAGUGAAAAGGUUUGAUUUCUUUAUUUAACAAAUAAAGGGAUGAAGGAUUUGCAACUGCUUUGAUCGGCCAAGGAAAUUGCAUUUGAAAUUAAUAUCGAACCCGAAUUUCAUAAGAAACCUGUAAUAUAUAUGAAGAAACAAUUUGAGGAGAAUGUUAAUAGUAAAAUCUCAAAAUCUCUCGUAGUGUCCUUUAGAGUUGAUUACUUUUUAUACAUACUCCCUUUGAUCCAUAAUAAAUGACUUUUUAACCUUUAAUGUGCCCUUUAAAAAAAUACUGACUCCUAGAACAAAAAUGUAUUUUGAUUGAAUUAUCCUUAAUUAAAAUUUAUAUGUUGUUAACUUGACACAUUGAGAUAUAUAAAUAAGGGCAAAUUUUGGAAAAAUAAAGUUAAUUCAUUCUCGAUUAUAUAAAAGGACACUUAUUUUGGACCAAAAUAAAAGGCAAAAAAAAAUACUUAUUAUGGGCCGGAGAUAGUAGUUGACAAGGUUGUUUUUUCACUUUAAAAUAGAUCUGAACAAUUAGAGGCAUAUGAAAAUAUUUUUAUUUUUCUAUCUAGCAGUAAAAACUGAGAUCACUAGUUGAUGAAAAUUUGAAAAAUAUUUCCUUCAUCUUGAAUGCUCCUUAAAUCAUAAUAAUCAACCCGGUAUUGAUAGUUUAUAUUUAUUUUAUGAAUCAAAAAUAUUAAGAAAAAUAGUACAAUUAGAAGAUAACAAUUUAAUUGAUAUACUCAAUCAAAUAAAAGGAUUUGAUUAUUUUUCAAAUGCCUAUUUUACUUAUAGAAUAAUGUUAAUAACUCUUAUUACUGUUGCUUCAACGGAAAAAAGUUUUUCAAAAUUAAAAUUGAUAAAACCUUACCUAAGAUCAACAAUGUCUUAAAGAUAUUAAAUGAAUUAACUAUAUUGUCAAUUGAGAAAGACGUAUUAGGAGAAAUUGAUUAUAAAAAUUAAUAAUAACUUUGCAUCUAAAAAAACUUAGAAAAAUAGACUUCAAAUAAAAUAAAAUAUAUUUUAUUAAUAAAAAAGUCAAGGCCCCUCAUAAAGUUUGGCUUUAGGCCACGAAAUUGGUCGAGCCGCCCCUGUUCAGGAUCUUUAAGGUUGUUUUUAUUCAGAUUUUAUCUUUACAUGAAAGUGACUAAAUUUCGAUUACUUUUGAAAUUGUGGCUAUUUUUUAAUUACCAGUUAUAAAUCUAGCUAUUUUAUAUAUUUUUUUUUCCCGAAAAAACAUAUAUUGUGACUCGUAUAUUGUUAAACUACACAUGUAUCAAAUGUGUAAAUAAUUAAAAAUAGUAUAUUAAAAAAAUAGACGGUUAAAUCAAAAGGGUUUAUUUUGUUAAGGCGUGUAAGAUGUAUUUACUUGAUAGGAUAGAAAUUGAAGUCAAGGCAAGAGUGUAUUAGAGUGUAUUCGUAUUUCCUUUUUAAUUUCAAGGGUCUCUCAAAAAUGUUAUGUAGUUAUUUAUUUGAAUAUUAUUUGAGAUUUGUAACACUUGUGGUUUAAUUUAAUAUAAAUCUAUCUCUUUCCUUUAAAAAAAUUCUUUUAACUUCUUUUGUUACACGCUUACAUAGGAGGAAAGGAGAGAGAAUAGUCCGCAGGUAAAUCGCAAACUCUAACUCGUACUACCCCCAAAAAAAAAAAAAAAAAAAAAAAAAAAAUCCUGGUGCACUAAGUUUCCGCGUUGCGCGGGGUCCAGGAGAAAGUAUUAAAUUUAACGGUGAAAAGCCAAAUAAACCUUUGUAUUUUCGAAAAUGGUCUAAAAUACCAUCGUUAUAUUAUUGAGCUAUAUAUACUCUUCCCGUCAUAUUUUGGAACAAAUAUACUCUUAUUUUGGAUGGAGUGCCACGUGUCAGCACUAGAUGAAAACGACCCAUUUUUUUUUUACCCGAUCCGUUUUAAAAAAACUCAUCACCCGACCCGUUUUAAAAUUCAAUUUUUUUAAAGCAUAUAUUUUGUAANNNNNNNNNNNNNNNNNNNNNNNNNNNNNNNNNNNNNNNNNNNNNNNNNNNNNNNNNNNNNNNNNNNNNNNNNNNNNNNNNNNNNNNNNNNNNNNNNNNNNNNNNNNNNNNNNNNNNNNNNNNNNNNNNNNNNNNNNNNNNNNNNNNNNNNNNNNNNNNNNNNNNNNNNNNNNNNNNNNNNNNNNNNNNNNNNNNNNNNNNNNNNNNNNNNNNNNNNNNNNNNNNNNNNNNNNNNNNNNNNNNNNNNNNNNNNNNNNNNNNNNNNNNNNNNNNNNNNNNNNNNNNNNNNNNNNNNNNNNNNNNNNNNNNNNNNNNNNNNNNNNNNNNNNNNNNNNNNNNNNNNNNNNNNNNNNNNNNNNNNNNNNNNNNNNNNNNNNNNNNNNNNNNNNNNNNNNNNNNNNNNNNNNNNNNNNNNNNNNNNNNNNNNNNNNNNNNNNNNNNNNNNNNNNNNNNNNNNNNNNNNNNNNNNNNNNNNNNNNNNNNNNNNNNNNNNNNNNNNNNNNNNNNNNNNNNNNNNNNNNNNNNNNNNNNNNNNNNNNNNNNNNNNNNNNNNNNNNNNNNNNNNNNNNNNNNNNNNNNNNNNNNNNNNNNNNNNNNNNNNNNNNNNNNNNNNNNNNNNNNNNNNNNNNNNNNNNNNNNNNNNNNNNNNNNNNNNNNNNNNNNNNNNNNNNNNNNNNNNNNNNNNNNNNNNNNNNNNNNNNNNNNNNNNNNNNNNNNNNNNNNNNNNNNNNNNNNNNNNNNNNNNNNNNNNNNNNNNNNNNNNNNNNNNNNNNNNNNNNNNNNNNNNNNNNNNNNNNNNNNNNNNNNNNNNNNNNNNNNNNNNNNNNNNNNNNNNNNNNNNNNNNNNNNNNNNNNNNNNNNNNNNNNNNNNNNNNNNNNUUCUUUCAGUUUUUACAAAAAUAAAUUCCAAUUUUUACAAAAUAUAUGCUUUAAAAAAACUGAAUUUUAAAACGGAUCGGGUGAUGGGUUUUUUAAAACGGAUCGGGUAAAAUAAAAAAUGGAUCGUUUUCAUCUGGUGCUAACACGUGGCGUUCGAUCCAAAAUAAGGGUAUAUUUGUUCCAAAGUAUGACGGGAAAAGUAUAUAUAGCCCAAUAGUAUAACGAGAAAUAUUUUUAGACCAUUUUCGAAAGUACAGGAAUAUAUUUGGCCCUUCGCCGUAAAUUUAAACAGCUUCAAGUACUAAAUCCAGUACUUAAAGCCUUCAUACAAAAAAAUUACUUCAAAUGCAGGUCCAAUAUACUCAUAUGUCUCGUUCACAAUUCAAAUAUGUAUGCAUCAUUAGUAUCACGCUCUACAGUCAACGAACUAUCACAGGCUAAAAACAGCUUUUCAUAUCAAUAACACUUUGCUAUAACAGUUCUGUUCAUUAUAAGCUAAUGUAUAUAUAAAUGACUGAACUACUACAAAAUCUACACCUUCUCAAGAACAUAUAAUACUACAACAAUUUACAAAGUUCACCUCAUCCUGAAGCGUGGAACCUGUUUGUAUUUUCCUCCCAUAAUUAUGUAUAUACAUGUUAUGUCCAAGCAAAUCGACAAGCCUAUGAUCGAUGAGUACAAUAUCGGAAAAUUGAGUAUACGAUUUUCUUCCUCCAGGAUGAGUGUACAAAAUAUACAGUUACAAGGAGCUUGUCUGUAUGUUCGGUCAAGCACAUGCUAGCUAUUUAUAGUAUUGACUCUAGCCUUUUGCUGCAAAAGAAAAAGUAAAAGAAAAAGUAAAAGUAAAAGUAAAAGCAUAUACAUUAGACCACAGAUUGAGUACUGAAUCUACUCUUAUGUCUUGGCAAACAAAAUCCUGUAAUUUCAGUUCUCUGUCUUUGGUAAAUGAUAUCUUUAGCAUGCAGACAGGCUAUCGCUUAGAAACAAGAAUAAAUUUUAAGUUAAAGCAUAAACAAUAGUUACCUGAAUCUUUCCGUGGCCGUGGGAGUACCACCCUUGAAUCUUAAAAAAUAGUUUAGGAUGGACUGCUAAUUUUCAAUCAAUAGGUGGAAAUCUCCAGAAAUUCCACGAAUUAAAAUCUUCCUGAAGAAAACCGAAAAUUGUUGGGCAAGAGUAAGGUUUUGCUUUUCAGUCAGCAUUGGAUGUAUAUCAGACAUAUAGCACCGAAGAACUCAUAUUCCAAGAGAAUACGGGAUACAAUCAAGCAACACUUUGAUUAAGCUAUUUUGAAGUGUGCGACUUUCUGAUCUAAAAGCUUAAGCUAUUACAAAUAGCAUACUUUUAUUUACUUAAUUACUUCUUCAACAAGCUGCCAUCUAAUUUAACAUUUACACACAAAAAGGAACAAUAAAAACUUUCCUCAAUUGGGAUAUUGUAACACCUCCGCACACCCAGCACUAGACAUCUUGAACAUGAGUAACGUAAUUGAAGGGCCACAACAUUGGAAAACACAACAACAAUGACGGGUCUGGUUGUCAUAUCAUGUUAAGAAAAUUAACUUUGAACCUAAUUCAACCGCAAAAGCUAGUUCGUAUGAUGAGAUUUUUCCAAAACCAUGCAAGGACACAACCUACUCCCACAACCAAUGUGGUGUGGGAUACUCUUAACAUUAACAUCGAAAAAAUAGUGUAGCUUCAACUGAAAAUGUUGGUAUUUUUGCUAUCCAGGAUAAGCUAGGUAUCCCUUAUUUGAUUCUGAUUUUUUAAGUACAAUAACAAAAACAUGUCCGGCCAAGCGAAAAGGACUGAGGUUCAAAGCUCUUUACUUCAAUUUUCUUUACUCCGUAACAUGGUUUUAACUUUCUAAAAUAAGAUUUCAAAUUUCAGCACUAUUAGGCUCCAUAACCUGCAAAACAAUGCAACCAAUUACUUCUUCCAAUUCAUUAACUAUUAGACUUUUCAUGUUGGCCAUAAAAACUUUCCAGCCAAAGGACAUUCCUAAAGUUUUACCUUUUAGCUUUCUAAGAUUGGUUCAAUUAUCGAAAAAGAAUUUUGUCCAACCCCCGUUUCAUAGACAGAGUGUUCAAGAAGGGGACACGCUUAAAAGUAGGUGUCAUCCAACAGAAUAAAGAUAACGAUGAUACACCAACUAUGCCUCAAUCCCAACCUCGAUAAUAGUAAUAAUCAGCAAAGAAGAAAAAAACACUACUACAGCAACGCUGCAGAGAGGGGCACACCAAAUGGCUGCUACUUCACUGCCGGACCUUGCACAACAGACAUUCUUUUGAAACAGAAUGAUGACAAGUGCAGAAGUUUCAGCUUCCACGGAAGACAAGGAAGAGAACUUGAGUGUAGCGAAUCUACUAUAACUUUAGAAAAAGUUUUAAGUCUCUAAAUAAAGAAAACCUUGUUCAUGACUGAACAAGAUGAUGAGUCGUUAAAGUGAACAUCACGACGAAAGUGACUCUGAUACUCCACUUCAAGAAAUCUAAUUACAUCCUACAUCUCUUUGCAGAUGAGAAAAAAUUGAAGGAACAGAUCACAUACUGCUCUUUACUCUAUCACAUGAUUAACCAGCUAAUAAUCAUUCAUAGAGGAAAAAAUCCAACCUGCUCACAUGAGGACAUGGCUGGAAACAUGCCAUUGACAAGACAAUGAAGAGAGGUAUAUGAUUUUGUAUCUAUGUGGCGAUUUACAACAAUUUGACCCUGUAGAUUAUAAAAAAUGUCAUCAGAAACGUUCUUUAAGAGUUAUCUGCAACAGUUGACAGUAACAGUUGACUACAUACCUUUGGAUUGAUGGUAAAGAUUUUCCCUUUAGGUAUUCCAACCUUGAGGUAGCUGAUCUCAUCCGUGAGUCUGUUUCCAAAACCAGCAUAGAAGGGAAAGGGAUUCCUAUCAGGAGGGAACAAUGCUUUUACAUCCUGCAAACUUGAAAGUUAACAGGUUAUCAAUCUGCAAUUCUUGCCAUAGAUAUAAGAGAAAUUGCUCAAAGUUAGUAAAUAUAUCUUCUGCAGAGACAGUAAUUUAGAUACUCCUUGACCUCAAGAAUUUGCAUACUUUAUUAUUCCCAUAGAAAACCCAUGAUAAACAGAAAAAUAAAACAAAAUACAGGAAAAGAAAAAGAAAGAAAACCUUUCUUGCGUUUAUGGUAAAAGAUGUUUCCCAAAGUUUCAUGUUUUCUCUUAUUAGCUAUUGAUAUUCGGCUUAAAGUAUGUUGACGGGAAGUUGUCCUACUUCGCCCGGGACAAGGUUAUUUCGACCCAAGACGCCCCCAACUUGUAUAAAAGCAAGUCUAAACCUAUUUUGGAGGGGGAGAACAUAUUUUUGAGAGUGGAGACGCCACUUUGAGAGGGAAGAACACGCACGGAACACUCGGGAGCAAGGAUUCUCAAUUUUUUCUUUCUCUUCUCUUCCUUUAACUUUAUAGUUCAUUAGUUCUAGAGUUGUGGGUGCUACAUGAACGUUGUAGUUUGAAGCUUGAAUUGUUCUUAUUAUUUUAUCAUAUUGGUUUAUUUAUUCAAUCUUGGGCUUAAUUAUUUGAUUGCUUGAUCACCAAUUAAAUACUAUCUACGAAUCUAGGAUUAAACUCGGGAGAGGGAAUUCUAGAUUGCAUAUAAGAUUGAGUAGAGAAAGAUCUUUAACCUGAGCAUCGGGAACGGAUUUGCGGUUAGGAAAGGAAUAUACCUAAUCGCCUUACUUGGUUACUAUACAGGAAUUAUUAAUGCGUUCUUGUUAAUCCUAAUUCCAUAGGAAUAUAGGCGUUAGGUUAGCUUGAAUAGGCGAUUAGUACUUCGGGAGAAGGCUACGAGUAAUAUUAACCCUGUCAAUCAAUAAACUAGAUAAAUUAAUUAGACAAUUUAGGUAGAAAACUCAACGGGAUUGUUAGCUAACCUAUAGCUCUAGAAUAUUGUCGCCAAAUUGUUUACUUUAAUCUCUUAGUUUGCUAUUCUAGAUUAGUUGUAGUUAAUAAUCUUUAGAAAAUCGCUUGAAUAGAUUAAUUGUCUUAGUUUAAUUUAGUUGAUAGUUAAUCACAAGUCCCUGUGGGUAAGAUAUCUUGACUUACAAUCUUAUAUUACCUGUCCACGUAUACUUGCGUGUGCGUUUGGAAGCAACAGCUAUUAUAUCCAUCUUGCAAUUUAUUUCAAUAAAUACAUUUUGAUGUUUCUGCACAGCCAUAUUUUAAGUGCGGCACCCCAAACAACCCAAUUUCUCAUCACCUUAAACAGCAGUAAGAUCAGUUAAACAGUGACCAAAUCUCAGUGUAUCAACCAACUGGUUUAGACAUUUUGAGCAUUUGGAAAUCUGCUAGUGUAAAGAGUGAGUCUUCGUGCAUCAAAAUUCAAAAGCACUAAAUACCCAUCUAUUUCUCUUACUCGGAUUGUAUUACGUUUACAUGUUAAAACUCCCUUAAGCUAGAAAAAAAAGAUUGGACUAAACAUAGAAUUAAGUCGUCAUUAAUUCAGUAAAAAGACAAAAGCACUCUACCAAAUGCAGAUCAUCGAAGCAAAAGUCUGAGAGCCUCCCUAGCCCCAUGGCUUUGGAAGACGUACAAAAAUUUGUUUGCUUAAUAAGCUAAAAGUUCUAUUAAGAAAAAAAGGAAGCAUGUCUGAAUCAAGAAACUGACCUCUAAGCAAGCGAUUUUGAAUUCAUGAGGAACUCUUCUAACCACUGCAAAAGGUAAAAGGGUAGAUGCAUAUCUCAAUCAUAAUAUUAGCAACAUUUGGAGCAUUUUUAGUUUCUCGAAGGAAUUACUUAAUAUUUAGUUACUCAAUCAAGACAUGCUGCAAGCAUGGAGGUUAAAGUUGCAAUGCCGAAGAAAAUAGCUUCUUUCACAUUUUAAGUUCAUGCUGUAGCAAAAACAUGAAACAGCAGCCAGUGAACCAAUAAUGCGUUUUGCAUGAAACCAGCAGCGACUGAACCAAUAAUGCCUUUUGCAUUCUAAAUGCAUGUUAUUACUAAUACAGUUUGAGGCACGUUUGCCAGAAAUAACAACUAUCAUUCCUUUUUAUCACAGAGCCAUAGAGGUAAUUGUCAAUGGUAGGAUAGUUAAAAAUCGCAAAAACAACUAAAGAACUAAAAAAGGACAUAAAAAAGUGCAAGAAAAAUCAGAAAAUAUCUAACAAUUGAUAGCAUAUAACUUUCAGGCAUCAUAUCAUGUUCACUGGAGUAGAUAAUUCCAAUAAAAUAGUUGUUACUUCUUGAAUAUAUUCCCUCUUUAAAUGCACUUAAAUAAAAAAUCAUAUAAAAGUGGGAGCAGCAAUGUGAGCACUCUGCCAGUAAGGAAAUGCUUUUCAGAAACGUGGGGUAGCAAGAGUGGGGUUACGGUGCAAAUAUGCUCAUCAAAGAGGAGAGGAAGCAAACAGUAAGCAACAACAGCUUACUUCUACUUCAAUGCUCUACCAGCAUCCCCAAUAAAAAUAAUACAUAGGAUAGAAAGUACAACAUGGUCUUAUUUUUAGUCUACCCAGGUGAUAAUGGAUGGGUUUGUUUAAUUCUAAUAAUCAUGAUUCAUAAGAAUAUGGAAAACAUUAUAUUUGCAACUCAAUGGGAUGCAUAGUUUGGAGCAAAGAAAAACAAACUCUUCACAAUAUAAAGAAAGGAAUAACGGGUGACCUUCUCGAAAUAGAGAAGGGAAAAUUCCAUCAGGAGAUGUAAGAACUGGUCCUUCCGGUAAUCCCUUCCCAUUCUGAAAUUAUUUUAAAAAAAUGAAGUCAAAUUAGUGGAUGAGGAGAAAAUAAGUGAUUACUUGAGCCAAAUUUUCUUUUCAUCAAACUACCUGCAUAAGUUUAAACAGGAAUUGUCUAGUGAGAUAGGCCUGUGAAAUAGCACGUGCACUUAGGAAAAGCAAAUGAUAUCCAUUCUCCUGCAGCAAAGAGGAUUGUCUAGUGAUUAUGCACUCUUAUCCUAUAAUGAGUGACAAAUUGUUUUAUUUACAUAGAAGAAGUAUAGAAACAUUUCGAGCCUGAGCAAACAGAGGAAAAAGGGCAGAAAACAUAUUCACAAUAUAUAAGACGAACAUUCUUAAAGUAAAAUCCGGGAUCUAAUGACAGAUUACUUGCCAGAACUACAGAAGUGGCAGAAUACCUUCUCACACUUAGUCUGAAUAAACCUCAAGAAAAGGGGAGAAGAGAAAACAAAUGAAGUAUACGGACCUUGAUAGCCGAAAAAAGAUGUGCAACGCCUGUCUGUGACCAGUCCAUCCCAACCAAAGGCAUGAACUGCCCUAGAACAUCAGAUCUGUUUAAUUGAGAAAAAUAUCACAUCAAAGACGCACAGGGAAAAGGAGGGGAUAUUACCUUUGUUAUAUAAAACAUUUAUAGUGUUUGUCAUAUAUCAAUCAGCUCAGAUAGAAGUCUACUCUUCUUGUUCGCUAAGGAACCAAAGAGUGGACCCAACAGAAGUUUGAAGAGGAGAAAAGAAAACCAGCAUAACAAAGUUUGGACCCUAGAGAUCUGAUCGAACAAGUUGAAAAAUGUAAACCAACUUCCACUUGUUUCAAUAUAUCGUCUCAGUUUAUAGAUAUUUCCAGAUAAAGAAUGACUCAACCAAGAAGAGUUGUAAUUUUUCCGCCUUUAAAAAGUAACACUUAUGAAUUAGUAGAAGUGAGGGCAGAACAAAACAAAAGACAAGGGAGGGAAAAUUUGCUAGAAAUGACAGGUUUUUUCUGUUGAUAUUCCAUGUUUUGAUGGAAAGACACAACAUAGAAUCUCAAUCAAAAAAUUCUACGGCUCAAUCUAGCUGAUCUAAAAGUCAGGAGGCAUGCCAAACUUAUCAAUUAUUUGCUUGAACUCAGCUAAAUUGCAUUCCUACUGGAGUACAGUAAAUAAGUAUCAGAUCCUUCAUUUCCUUCUUUCUGAUAACCAUACACUUCAGGCUGCACCACCAAACAAUCUCUAUUUUCCAGUAGAAUGUUUCAAGGUCAGAUGGUGUAAAGUAUGGGCGUUGUUACAUGAAUGUUCAGCAGUUUUCUCAGCAUUGAUUCUCUGUCAGAAGUUUGAAUUGAUUUCUAGUUACAAUACACUUAUGUAUUACCGAUCAAAAACAAUUUUGGUACACAGUUAAGGGAGAAUUUGGAAGAAGUUUCCAAAUUUGUUUUCCAAAUUCCAUCUUGAAGGUUCCCUUUUUAAAAGAUAAAAUCUCACUCGUACCUAAACGUCCACUUCAUAUCUAACUUUUGACCGUUUUUCUCUACAAUAAAUUAUAAAUUGAACUCUAUUCUUAAAUCUGGUUUAUGACAAUCUAUGGGGAAGGGUGAGUCCUCGGCUUGUGGAAUUUUCAACAGUUCCAGGUGCAUCAUGUUAAGGCUCAUCAAUUGAGAACAUAUCACAUCCAAUGCUUAGAUUGUAGGACAUGGAAGUGAAUUACAAAGUUAACCACAUGUAGAAAGCAAUUUACGGCUAAAAAUGUAAUUGCUAAAGUUGAUGAUCGGACAAGACGAUUCCUACUUAUCCAAAAAAAAGGAUAAGCCAGAUUUUUGUAACAGAAAAAGGUUGGCAUAUCUGACCUGUACAAAUAGAUAUUGAAUAAUAAACACUGAGGCAUCCAUUCAAAAUCUAUAGUAGAAAUGAAUCAAUUACCUAGUAAUUGUUCCAUCAACAUCAGAUAUAACAAUCUUUGAGUCCCAUCUCCACAAAUAUAUACGUGCAUCAACCUGUGAAGUAUGCAUCUAGGACAAAUUAUAAGCAUGGAAGCGUUUGCACACAGAAAGAUAGAUGUAAAGUUUCUUGAACGUGCUCAAACACAAAAGGGGGAUGUAAAUAAAAGUCCAAGCAAAUGACCUGCUGUGUUCCCAGCAUCGCAGUCGAAAACGUGAAUACAACUAUAUUCUUUCCUUCCUUCAGAUUCAAAGUGGCCAGCUGUUCAGAUGUUGGAGUGGUUAACAUUAUUUUCUUCUUAGAAAUCCUUGACCUGGGCACAUCUUUUUCUCUGACACCACCUGUGUUAUUUGAAAUACUUUUAGCAUCAGAGUUUACAUCUUCAUCCACGGAUGAGCCAGAACUUUUCUGGCUUUUUGAUCUCUUAUAAGAAAAAGACCAUGAUCUCCAGUUCCCACUCGAUAAAUUAUUGGAUCUGGCAUCUCUUUCUGUAAAGAUUCAAUUAAACUCGUCAAUAAUUAUCUUUCCUAAUUUAUUGGUCCAGCAAAGAGGCAUAACCACUCAGGCGAUCUAAAACAAAAAUACACUUCAAGUGUCUCAAGGUAAAAUCACAGUUUCACCGGAGAAAUGAGAAAAUUAUCUGAAACUCAAACUAAUACACAUAGUACACGAGUAAAGAGUAGAAAAAGCAUUAUAAUAAGCUUCAAAAUGAUUUAAAAAAAGGUGCACAUUUAAAUAUUCUUUUACCAAUUUUUGGAGUGGCUGAAAUAUUUUGCACCUCCUCUGCGACCUCAGCAACUUCUGUUGUCUGUAGUACAAUUGAUGAGUUUAGGUCAUCGGGGUUAGAAGGCAUAUCAUUAUCAGGAGACCACAUAUUGGGUAGAGAUCUGCUCAUCCGCAUAACUUCGUUAUCCUGAACUACUACAGGAAUGUCAACGUUGCUUGAUACAGUUUUGAGUUUUCUUCCAUCUGCAACAAAUGGCGGAUCACGUUGGAUAGACUUUUCCAGAGCAGGACCAGGCUCAUUCUUUGGGACUAGAUAGUCUUUUUCCUUAUAAUCUAAAGAAAUGGACUCUGCGUAUCUGGCAACCGUGUCACCACAACCAUCAAUGUCACCAAAGAGAAGCUGCUGUUCCUCCAAGCUUUCUGAUGAAGGAACAGUAAGUGGGACCAAACUGCCGCUAGAUUCAUGAGGAUCACCAAGAGCUUCUGAAGAAGACAUAGGCAAAAUCCACCCAAAAUCUGCUUCCGCAGCAGAGCUAUUCAAUGAGCCACUCUCACAGACUAAAAAAUGAGUGGUUGAGUUUGCACAGAUUUUGUUGGUUAAAUCCUUGAAACAGUUUUCAUUUUUUUCAAAUCCUUGAACAUUUGAAGAAUCCUUUUCAACUAAUAAAUCCUCUUCUGGUUGAGAGUUCCCCACUGCCAUUAAAUCAUUCACACCGAGAAGCGUUUGGGGAUGCAUACAAGCUUCUAGAUCACGAGAAGCACACAAGUUUUGAGUAACUUGUUCAAUUGAAACAUCUAGCACUGCUGUUGAGUUCUCUUCAGUUUCACAAUAGGAAAAAGAUUGGACCGCAGCAGUUUCAUUUUCCUCCUCUGAAAGAUGGUUAGUUGCAAAAGAAUCGUGUCUCUCAAGCUCAGCGGAGUUCACAACUUGUGAACUGGAAUUUGAAACCUCAGAUAUAAAUGUAAUACCCUUGGCAUCAUGAUCAGCAUUAACUAUGCCUAGGUCACCACCGUCAUAAGAACUCUUUAAGCUUUCUUCACCACUAUAAUGUUCGCCACCUUGGACAACAGUUGACACUCUUGCAGCAUUCUCAGAUGCUGAAAAUAACACAUGUUUACUAGAUUUCUUGACAGACUUCUCUAGAGCCUGAAAGAUCAGUUGAUUACCAUCAUCCUUCUCACGAGCAGACUCACGGAAAUCAAGAUUGUCUAACUUGUUAUCAUGUGACGGAAAACUCAUAUCACUUUUUGUGUCAUUAAUUUGCAAGUACUCAUCUUUAACACCCUGUGACGUAUCUUCGGCAGAAAUUCGUGUAGCGUAGUCUCUACUGUACCUCUUGGGGGUCAGAUUAGUAGACCACUUCAUUUCUAAGAGAUCAGCUGCCAUUUCAGCACACUCCAACGAGUCUGCCCUGAUAACACUGGCAUUAGUGUCUUCCUCGAGAGGCCUGUAACUCUUCAUCGACUUCCUCCCAAAAACCCUGCCUAAAAUCCCAGGUUUUCGGGAAUUAGCCCUCACCAAGACAUCCUCACCGCUCACAUUAAUCUGAGUAACUGAAAUAGAGUCAACAGCAUCAUAAUUGCAACUCUUUGAUUUUGUUGGCGGCUUACUACUCGUUUGCCCAUCAGUAUCCUCACCCGAGGAUGAAGAAGAAAAUAAAGAGUCUCCUCCAUCUUCUAUAUCCAACUCCUUUAGAAAGAAAGCUUGUCCUCUAUUAUCUAAAUACAUAUGAAAUCCCGCUUCAACGCCAUUGACAGUUAUAUGAACCACCUUUUCUUUCGCCUUCAAAACCCCUUGAAACUUCCCAAACCGAACAUACCAAGGAGAGGAUUUAAAACUACCAUCUGGUUGCUCCACCACUAUGAUAUCUACAGCACCACCAAAUGGAUGGAAAGUCCCAGAAACACUACUUACUCCUCUCCCAAUGUAGCUACCUAUCCUCCCCAUAGUAUUCAUUUUUAAAAAUAAUACGAAUAUCUGCCAAAGCUUCCACUUAACACAGUCUUAUUGCCACAUCACAAAUCACAACCCCAAUUCAUCAAGAUUGUAAAUUUUUAAGCUUAAUUGCUACAUUUCACUCAUCACAUCCAUUAAUUUCCAAAUAUUUCCCACAAAGAUCCAAUUUUUAAUAGUUUCCCCAAUUUUUAUUGUCCCCGGCUUAUUUGAAUUUUCAAGAAAAGGAUCAAAGAACAAUAAUUGAUCAAAAUUCAAAGACAGAUCAAGAAAAGAAUCUGUCUUUGUUGGAAAAAAGACAGACAAAAAGAAGAAGAAAACUAAAAGGGGAUACACAUACACUACAACAAUACACAAAAUUUGCUGAAUACCCAGCAAAUCAAACGAAAAAAACAGUAAUAAAAUGGUAUCAGAAACUGAACCCAGCUCAAAAUUCAGUGUUGAGCUGAUUAGGGUCCCAAAUCAAGAAAACCAAAAAAAGAAAUAUAAAAUAGAAAAGAAAUCAUAGUUCAGAACCAAUAACCGCCAAGACUAUAAGUUGAAGAACAGUUGGCUGAAAAAAAGUAUAUUCUUUUUAAUAUGAUCCGAAUGUGCUUCUGUUAUAAUCAUUUGACACAGUCCAAUAAAACGACACCGCCAUUUGUGUCUAAAACUUUAUUACUUAUAAUUAUAUACUGCCUGACCUGUAUUUACGUAAAUGAAUACACGUAUAUAACGUGUAAGUAAUCAAUGAAGAAUAAAAUUACAGUGUGAAAUCAAAAGGGUUUUUCUGUAAAGACAAGAUGAACUUACCUGAGAAGACACUGAACAGGAAAUACAACGUUAAUAUUUGGUAUAUAGUACUAGUACUAGUAAUUGAUUGAUAUUUUUGCAGGAUUUACAACAUUUGGAGAAGCAAAAAAAGAUUUCUACAUGUGACAGUGACACGUCAGUUUUGAAUUCAAUGAGGGACCCUGAAUUAGUUGGGAGACUUCAAUUUGGGGCUUAAAAUUCUCUGCCGUAUUUAUUUUCCUUUUCUUUUAACUAUUCUAUCCAAUUAAAAUAAUAUAAGGACUUUUUUCACUUUUAUAGCCCGUAUCAGAAAUUAUUUAAAAGUAAAGUAUAAAGUUUGUUUAAUUUUUGUAUAUAACAUACAUAAUAUAUAUAUAUAUAUAUAUAUAUAUAUAUUUAUUUAUUUAUUUGACUAUUAUUUUCAAAGCGAUUGUUCAAUGUCAUUUUCCCUUAAAGUAAGUAGGUUUCAGUUAUGCCAAUUUUUUAAAUAAAUUCCGACUUCAGUUCCUAAUUUUUGUGAAAUGUAUGUUGAGUAAGUAUUCUGUAAUAUUAACAUAAGGUGUUAGUUUCAAUACAAUAUACUGAAUAUAACAAAUGGAACUUAUAAAUUGCAGUUUUAUUCUAAUGAAGUGUGUCUACUUAUUAAUUUUUAUUUAACUAAAGAUUAUAACCGUAAUAAAAAUAAUUUUUGGGUCUAACUCAAUUGAUUAAGUGAGGAUUGUCAAGACAACAUCUCAUUUUCUAGACCAAUGCGUGACUUUCAUUAGUUUUACUUGAUAAAUUUAUCGUUGACCAAAUCUAAAGCUUAUACUUUGGCAUAAUGAUUAAGAGUAAUCUUGUUUUAAGAAUGCUCUUACAACUUAACACAAUGUACUUUGCAAAAGGUCACUCUCACUAACUCAGCACAGUAUUUAAAUGGGGNNNNNNNNNNNNNNNNNNNNNNNNNNNNNNNNNNNNNNNNNNNNNNNNNNNNNNNNNNNNNNNNNNNNNNNNNNNNNNNNNNNNNNNNNNNNNNNNNNNNNNNNNNNNNNNNNNNNNNNNNNNNNUUUUAUGUAUAUUUAGCUAGCAGCUGUAAUUAGUUUCAAUCGACCGGCAAAAUAUGUAAAAAGCGGGGCAUUUUCAUAUAUACCCAUUUUUGAUGUCACCAUUGAAGUUAUACCCGCAUUGCACAAAAAUUUGCAAAGUGUACUCACUCGAAUAUGAAGUAGUUCAACCUCUUCAAUGCAAUUUCAGAAAAUCAAAUUUGAAGUUCUUCUAUCUUUCAAAUGCAAUUUCGAAAAUUCGAAUCUUAAGUAGUUCAGGCUCUUCAUUGCAGCUUCAAAAAUCAAAUCUCAAGUUCUUCUAUCUCUCAAAUGCAACUUCAGAAAUUCGAAUCUUAAGUACUUUAAUCUCCUAUCCAACUUUAGAUUUUGAAUCUUAAGUUCCAAAUCAUAAACUUGUUAUUCGAAUUUCAACAAUCCAACACACGAUUCAAUGCCUAAAUCUACUCCAAAUGAGCUCAAAUUUGAAACAUAACUUUCAAAUAUCACAAAGAACAAACCUCAAUUAUCAAAUUAUCAAAACAACAACGAAUUUAACAAAUCCAUUUUGCAACUAAGGAGAAGGAGAAGAAAUUCUAAGCACAAAGAAGAAGAAUGCAACAACGAAGAAGAAGAGAAAAAUGUAUGUAUCUAAAAUUAUCUAAAAAUUGGGUAUCUGUUACAAUUUCUUUUUUAAAAAUAGGUACAAAUUCAACGAGCAGCGUAAAAUUGGACGCCACAUAAAAAAUUUACGUUAAAAUCUCGAACGUCUUCUAAACUCUAGCCCACGCGGAGUUUCCAAAUUCCAGCCCAGGCCAAUUUUUAAUACUAUAAACUAUGGGUUUUAAAAGAGUUGAAAUUGGUAAUUUAUUGUUUGUACAAGUUGGACUGUAUGUUACUGCAGCCCAUUUAAAGGAACAUCAACAUCUGAAGCCCAGUAGAACAACAAAAAGAAAUGGGGCAAGUGCAUAGACUAGUACUUAUUUUUGUUUUAAAAUUUUAAACAAAAAAUUUUAACUUCAGGACAACUCAUGAUAUUUUUGAAUUGAAAAAUUAAAAUCCAAGACGCAUUGAAUGAUAUUUUUGAAUUGAAAAAUUGAAAUCCAAGACGCAUUGACUAAUUCGUAAAUAACAACUCUUUAGAGUGCUACAUGGUGUCAUUUCUACGAGAAAUCAUACCAAACUGAAAAGAAAAAAAUGACCAUCAAAAUCUGUUCCUCUUUUGUUUUUCUCUUUUUGAAUUCUUCUUCAUUCAAUUGGGAAUGUCAGAAAAGAAAAGGACUGAACUUAAAUCAAGUAUGGUUGCACGGUUUUCCAAUCACGAGAAAAGGAUAACUAAAAUCUUUAUCGAGCCCAUUUAAGUAUCUUUUCUUUUUUGUUUUCUUUACCCUUUUUCAUUUAAUACUCUUUGGAAUUCCAAACUAAAAGCCUUACUUGUUACUUAGUUUCUAUGCAUCGGAUCCAACUUCUGCAUGAUAUCUUCAGAAAUGUGGCCCCUCAGUCAAAAAGUAGGAAAAAACAUUUGGGAAAAUGGUUAAUGAGGCACUUUUCAGAAAAAUCUUAAUUAAUCUGCUACUUAACAAAUAGCUAUACGGUACAAAUUUAAAUUAAUAUAUAGUGCACAACUUGUGAAUUGAACCAAAUUUUCCGCGUACUGGAAGUAAGAUGGCUGACUUCUUGGAUAAAAGAAAGACACUGAUUUUAGUUUCUAGUUUUGAAGAUAUAAGUGAGCCACUAUAAAUUUCAGAUUCAUAGUUUACUUUUUUUUAGCCGCUAUAUAUAUUAUACAUGGUUAUAUACAUAUUACACAUAAAUUAUAUAUAUAUAUUAUACAUUCGUCGACUAUUUUUACUUUAAGAGUUUUGAUUCUUGUAUAAAAUUAUGUGCUUAUUUGGAGGUUCCCGCAGUUAAAGUUAAAUAAUUUGGUUGCAAGAUUGACAUGGAUCUUAUGCUAGUAUAAAACUAUAAACUCACCCGAAUUACUCAUAGUCAUCUUGGUAAGGGCUUCAUUCGAUAGUCAAUUAAUUCAUUUUUUUUCAUUUUAUAUCAUACGCUUCAAUGAUUUGUUUACUCUACAAGCCCACAUAGAGUAUAGAUAAAUAAAUAAAAAGGAAAUUUUACCUUCUAUAUUUUAUAUUUUAUAGCAAAAUAAAUAUUUAUGGCAUAUACUACCAUUGAUGCAUGAAAUAAUUAAGGCAUGAAAUACGCAAUUUAUGUUUUUCUUCUUUCUUAGACAGCCGGACAUACUUAUUUUUAAGGUGAUUGACGUUAUUGUAUUCAUGAAUACAUGACGCAAAUAUAAGUGAAUACAUGCGCGUACAUCUGGACUGCCCUGAUUUUAGGCACUUUUUGUUGUUGUAUUCAUGAAUACAUGGCGCGAAUACAUGUGAAUAUAUGCGCGUACAACUGAACUGUCCUGAUUUUAGACACUUUUUACUGUUGUAUUCAUGAAUACAACAACGCAAAUACAUGUGCGUACAGCUGGACUGCCCUGAUAUGAAUACAGCAACGCGAAUACAACGAAUACACUACCGUAACAACUGAAUAGUAGCUAUAGGAAGUAAUUAUAUAUAUGGUAGCUGUAGGAAGUUAAUUAGUGGUUUCUGAAAAUUUUUCAUUAAAAAAUAUUAACUUGUUAAUACCUUUUUUCAAUUAGAAACAAUUGUACCUUUGAUUAUAUUUUUUAAAAUCCAAUUUCGCAGUGGAAAUUACCUUAUGAUUGUAAACCAUUCUUGUUGCUUAUUUUACUUGCUCACCAGGUCAGAUCAUCACGAGCAAAUCAUAUUAAUGAUCAUAAUCAUAGAAGGUGUAAAUUAACAAAGGAAAAAGCAGUGUGUCCUUAGUUGUUGGGAUGUGAAACUGGACCAAACUAAGUACCACAUUACAUUAUUGUUGUACUUGCACUAAAGAAAGAAAUUCCAUAAACAUCAACUCAUGUGACCCACUGCAUAUUUGGUCCUAAUUGUUAUUCCUUACUUUUUCAAAGCUCCUAACAUUGUUUUUGACAAGAUGAAACUCUCUUAUUGUCUACUGUCUUUUCCAGUAAAGAACCUCUUUUAGAUCUACUUCCACUAGUUUGCUAUUCUUUCUUAUCUUUACCACCAAAGGAUGUGGUGCAGUACCAGCGAUCUCGGGUUCAAGUUUUGAAUAUGAAAAAAUUCUUGGUAGGGGGUGCUCCCCCCAAAUGGGGCUCUACACCAUGUGAAUUCGUAUAUAGUCGGGUCCAAUACGGGUACCAGACACCGGAUGAGAAAUCAAAAUAAUCAUGACGACAAUGGACAAAUGUAAAUGGAAACAGAGGCGAGUAUAGAGUAGUACCUCUAGAAUUUAUUACCUUCUUUUUUUAGAUUUAGCAUAAAUAUAUAUGAAAAAAUAUUUAAAACUUCAACUGCAUCCUUUUCAACUAGUAGAUCACCUUUUCUUAAGGUUUCGUACUACUACCUAAGUGAUACUUGAAUUGCUUCGGAGAAGUUCUCCUAAUUUGUCUCUCUCUCUCAUUUCUCUUUCUUUAAGAUAAGAAAUGAGAUAGUAAGUCUGUCAAGCUGUUAGGCAAGUGAUACCGUACACAAGUCCGCAAGUGAGGGUGCAUUAACGUGAGUUGAUAAACUAAUACGGCUAGCUUACUUUUCAUAUGUAGGUAGAGGAAAUAUGAUGUUAAACAUUGGGGGCAACUACAAAGGAAUAUGUUUGAAUGUGGAUAUACACCAUCUUUCCGCUGAACUUUCCAAACCAUGCCUCGCAAUCAAGCUAGAAAAAGACUAAGCAAGUGCUAUCCUAAUGAAAUAGCGGAUAAUUUAGUAUAACAUUCAUUCAUGACUACCGCUGCAUGCUUAAGACUAAAACCUAGCAGUGAGACUUCUAUUCUGUCGCCUUAUCUAAUAAGAGCCUCUAAAGCUAUGUUCGACGUAAUUAAUCAAUUAAACUAAUAAUUUACAAGCAUUCACAUUUCUAUCUCUUUUUGAACAAUAGCAAUAUAGCAUUCAUAAAAUUUUAUGUAAAAUUAUUAGACUAUGCCAUGACAUGAAAGAGAUGGAAAGAUUCGAAAAGGAAGAGACUAAAAAGCACAAGGAUUUGGGGCUUGUUGUCACCAUUAAUUAAGAAGAGUUGUCAAAGACCAAAAAGAAGAAUGGAGUGAAGAAAAAUUUAAAAGUUGAGUUGUGCAUGAACACAUUGAAAGCUACAUGUAACACAUGCUCUGUAUUUGGUGUUCCAUUAUUACACCAACAUUAUAUAGUCAUAGACAAUGUCUCACUCAUCUAUGGCUAAUCUAUUGCUCUAAGUUUUUAUGGGGGGGGCCUUCUUUAGAAUGCCUAUCUCUCAUGUAUAAAGUAUUCAUUAAUAGAACUAGAAAAAGUCGGCACAGAUGAAGUAGAGAAAAUGGAAAAGGUUUCAUGACUUCUGAUUUGUCAUUUUAAUCAUUAAUUACCUAAUUCAGAGCUUUCUCAUUAUGUUCAAACAUUAAUGAUCAAAAAAGAUAAGAGGGGUUAGCUCCGAUGGUCAACACCUUUCACGUACAAUUUUAGGAUUGUAGGUUCGAGUCACCAAAGGAGCAAUAGCUCCAAUAAAUGGAAUCAAAUGGGAAGAAAAUUAAAAAAAAGAUUAAAAAAAGUGACGUUAUUUAUAGUUAUUUCUUUUUUCCGCAAACAUUGAUUUCUACAUUAGUAGAUUUAUAAACUAAUCGAGUGAUUAUAUGUCGUUUAUUGAAAUUGUAGAAAAAUGUGAUCUGAAAAACACCACUGGUAUUAGUAAACGAUACAUCUAUAUUUUAUUGAUAAAUCUAUGUGUUAAUUUGCAUUACCUAGACGAUAGACACUCGAUUAAUAUAACAAACUUUGAACAUUCAAACUUUCAAAACAAUAAUAGACCAAUGCUAUUCUUUUAAUAGCCUCACUCAGACGAAAUGAUAUCAGUUUCGUAAAAGAGUUUAACUUCUAUAUAGAAAAAGAGUUUAACUUCUAUAUACAUAAAAAAAAUUAUAGAAAAAGAACUCAUGAAAAAACAUUCAGACAUUGUUGCCUGCUAAUCAUUCACCAUAAAUAAAUAAUUCAUAUUUUAAACUCAUGUAAUACAAUACUUUAUUUACAAAUAUACUUCAUGAUUAUGAUACAUGAAAAAACAAUUUUUAAGUAUGCAAGAAAGAAGCAAUAAUAAAAAGGAUAAAAAUACCACAAGGGGUAGGAUCGAAUUAUAACCAGAGGUAACUUCUGGAGCAUUUUAUCCUUAGCGACGCGAAUCUGUAUUAGUCGAGCCAGUGAACUUCAAUAACCUAAUCAUUUUCUUGGCAUUUGAUUUUCUGUUCAACUGAACUAGAUUUCUUGCAAUGAGCAAUAGCAGCUUGAAUAGCAGCUUGUAAUUCUUCCAUAGUACUAUCACUUGAAGAUGAAUUAUGAUAAUUAGCACCUGGUGUUGCUACAAGUAGACCACUAUUUGUAGGAGAAGUUUUCAUAGAUACUGGAGCUGAAUAUGCACCUCUUUUUAUUCCUCUAAUUUCCUUAUUUUUCCCACUUCUAAAACUUAAAUUCCCAGAAUAAGAAUAACUUUGUCUAUGUAAUUGCAUAUUUUUUCUGCUUCUAAAAGAUAAAAAAGGUCUCACCAUUCUAAUAUACCUUUUCAAGACUUGACUCACAUCAAAUUUUAGCUUCCUUUGUUUUUCCUUGUCUUCUUUUUCCUCCUUUUUCCUUUUUGGUAAUCCAAAUAAAGAAAAAGAUUUGGACUUUGGUUUUUGAUCUUUUGAUGUAGUAAAAGAAUUUGUUUGAUGAGGAUGAUGAAAGCUAUGGUUUAGAUCAUAAUAAGAGUUAUCAUCAUCAUGUUCUAAUUCUUUUUGGUUUUUGGAAUUUUGGAUUUUCUUUUCUUCUAAUGAGUCUUUUAUGGGAAGUGAACUAUCAAUGGAAUUUGUAGAAGAGCGAGGAGAAACUGGAAGAUGGGAUAAAAGGUGAAGAGGAAGUAAAUGGCCGUGGAAAAAAAUAUCAUCAGCUGGAGUUAAAUCUAUAGCAAAAGAAGAUGGUGGGAUAUUUUGCUUUGUUUUAUUAUUAUCAAGAGGGGUUUUUGUUGAAUUAUUUUCAUUAAAGGAAAUUGUGAAGGAAAAUUCAUGUGAUGGAGAUGAUGAAGCUGAAGGUGGUGAAGCUGCAGCUGCACUGCCGGCGGCGGUGGUGGACGGUGGUGGUUGUUGUUGUAUUUGCUUUGCCUUUUGGCUUUCUUGAUUGGGCUGCUUCAAUUCUUCUUUGACUCUCAUCUUGUCCAUGACUAAAAAUGUUUUAAAAGGGUAAUAAAUUUAGUACUAAGAUCUAAUAUUGGAUCUUUUUUUCAAGUUUUCUUGUUUUUCUUUGAUUGAGGAGAAAAAGAAAAAAGAAGAAGAUAAGAUACGUGAAGAAGGGGGUGUUGGGAAUUUAGGCUAAAAUGUCUUAUACAAAAGAGUUUUGUGUGGCAAUUAUAGUGAUAUGAAUAUUGUUUAUUGUUGAAUGAAGAGAAGGGGUUAUGUG